rnacentral:lncRNA from 1 species
UUUUAUUUUUUGUAGGUGUUGAAUUUGCACAACAAUUUGUCUUUAUAGGGUUGUCAUCAAAUUUGAUCACAUACUUAACAAGUGAGCUUCAAGAAACUCUAAUUGAAGCAACAAAAAACAUAAACACUUGGGUUUUUAUUUUGUCCAUCUUCCCUUUGCUUGGUGUUUUUAUUGCUAAUUCUUACAUUGGUCGCUUCAAAACUGUCACUAUAUCCUCCAUCAUUUAUCUCUUGAGUUAAUACUCAAAUUCGUCCCUGAAAGAUACCUCGAUCUCCAUAUUAGUCCCCGAAAAAUAAAGUUAAUCAAAAGAGUCCUUGAAAAAUACACGACUGAAUCAGGUUCGUCCUUCCGUCAAUUCGCUUGAUGACUUGGCUAACGUCUGCUGAUGUGUGACGUUAACUGCCACGCUGGCCGAGAAGGAAAACGACGCCGUUUUGAGUGGAUGCCCAGAUAGUCAUGAUUCGGCGUCGUUUUGUACGCAGAGUGGAUUCAAAACAAGGCCAACUCCGAGCUCUCUUCUCACCAGAAGAAGAUCUUCAAAGUUGAUGACCACAUCGGCGUUGCCAUUGCCAGACUCACCGCCGACGGCCGCGUUCUCUCGCGCUACAUGCGCAACGAAUGCAUCAACUAUUCCUAUACCUACCAGUCUCCUCUUCCCGUUGGACGACUCGUGGUUCAGCUCGCUGACAAGGCUCAGGUAUCAAGGUUUAGGGUUUUCGAUUUUUUGUUACUGUUUUGGUUCUUGGAUCGUGCAAUUGCUGUGCUAGGAUUUAUUUUGUGUUUUGAAAUGUUUGGAUCUGCAUAUGAAGUUUUGGUGUUUUUUUAUUAAUUUGAAUUGUCAAAUUUGACAGUCCUAUAAUUGUUGAUUAUGUUAAUUGCGGUGGAAUUGAUUGGUUUUUAGGUUUGUGGUGUUAUUUGUAACUGUGAGUAGUGAUGAAGUGUGGAAGUUCUCUUUUAUGAUGAAUUGAGGGUUUUGUAGUGUGGUUUAGUCAUCUCGGUUAUGGUGCUAAAAUUGGCUAUGAUGAAAGGAUGAUUGUAUAUGGCAUCAGCUAUUAUCAUAUAUGUUCAAAGUCCGUUCUUUUAAGUAUUUAUUACCUUUUGCAGUGGUAUUGAGUGUUAAAAACAAAAAGUUUCUUUAAACUGGUACUGAUUGCUAUAGUGUUAAAUAUGAGAUGUUGUGGUUAUGCUGCUUGUAGUUAUGGGAUGUGCAUUUUGAAAUGUUGUCAAUCUUUUCUUAUUCUGUUUGGAGGCUAUUGAGCUGAGCUCUUAAAUGUGAAAUGACUAGUUAGCUGCAUGCAAAAACUAACAAUCUUCUUUGGUGUCUUUGAUGCUAAUGUAAUGGGAAAGCUAUUUAGCUAUGAUGGGGGAAUCAGUUCACCUAGUGUGCCUUGUGGUGAGUUAUAGUCAUUAACUAGAUGUGCUUCCUCUAAUUUGGUUUGUGAGAGGCCAUUGGUCCACAAUCUGUCUGAAGUUUGAAUAGCUCAUUGAAUCUAUGCAACAUAUUAAUGGAGUGAGAGGAAAUCUUGAAUGGGGCAACAUCUAUGUCAUGCAACUCUAUGUUUACCUGGCUUUACUUUGAAGAUAUGUGGUGGGGUGUUGAAGAUAUAUGCAUCUCUAUGCAUAUUAAGGCAUGUAUAAUGUCUAUUUUGUAAAUAUCUACAAAUUUGAUGUAUGAAAGAAAGAAGUAUUUGCUGAAUUUAUUAUAAGAGCUCCUUCUCUUGUGAUGCAAUUUUAAUGGCAGGUUUGCACCCAGCGGUCAUGGAAACGUCCUUAUGGGGUUGGCCUCUUGGUCGGUGGAAUGGAUGAAUCAGAAGCUCACCUCUAUCAUAACUGUCCAAGUGGAAACUAUUUUGAAUAUCAGGCUUUUCGCUAUCUCUGCUGAGACAAUCAAGGGGACUAGUUCAGCCACUGCUAAGAAGCUUGCCAACUUUAUGACCUUCGUUCCUACUCUAGGCUUCAAGCCCCCAAGAAAGACUGAUAAAUGACUUUGAUUGGUGUUGAAAUGUAUUCUGGUUGAAUUUGUUUUUGUGUGAGGAUACUUUAUGUUUUUUUGCACAGGGCAAUUGAAUUUCCAUUAUCAACAUUUUGGUUAUCUAUGUAAUUGAAAGUUGUACAAUGCCCUUUUAUUUUGUCUAGCAUUCUUUGCUGUGGUUUGUAUUCUCAUGUAAAACCUUUUUAUUUUGCUCCUUAAGACAAUGUGACAACUAGCCUUCCAUGGCAACUCAAUGUUUAAGAGUACUUUGACUACUGAUUUUGUUCAUUCCUUAGUACAUCUUCCUGUAAUAGUGAUUCGAAUUGGUUUGGAACCUUUAAAUUGGAUUGUGUAGUCUUAAUCUUAAAUAACCAAAUGCAACAUCUAUUCUCAUUCAACAAAUUACUCUCAUUACAGCAUGACAUAUCAACACAUUUUGUUUUACUUGGAACUAGAUAACAAACAACAAACCAUUACAUUAAGGACUACUACCACAAACAGGAAAACUAUUAACAUUUUCAAUGAUUUUACUUCAGCUUCCAAACUGCCCAGUCUCCAUGCCACCUUCAACCUCCAUUCAUCAUAGUCACUUUCAACCUGCAGCCCAGCCCUGUAAUCUUUCUUUGUUCCACCUUCGCCCACCACUUCAUACUCAUCAUCGUCAACCCACUUAAAGUAAUUGCAGUGACUGCCCUUCUGCAAAUUCAAGAAUCAGAAAAGAAAAAUCUGAAUAAAACCCCAAAGCACAAAACAACAUGGAAAACCUUUAACUUCUUACACAACACUCACCCGGUAUCUUGGACAUGCACGGAAUAGUCUAUCUGGGUUCUCUACUGUCCCAGAUUUUCUCAACGUAGCCUUCAACCCGUAGAAACAUGAUUCCUCAUGGGUUUUCCUCCUGGUUCGCAUUUAAGCGCUGGAACCGUUACUGCCGUUCGAGAAGAACGACACACCACCUCCAUGGCCUCCAUUUCCUGCCUCCAUCUUCACCCCAAACCAGCAAUUUCAACACUAACCCAGGCAUAUGGCCCUUUUAUUGCUGAAGGCAACGUAUUUAUCAUCGAAAUUAGGAUUAGGUUUCAAACAAUUAGGGACUGAUUUGAACUAUUUUUCCAAACUUACCUUGUCAGCAAUACGUUAUGACACGUUGGCCUCCUCCACGUUGGAAGCUAACGACACACCUCAGCAGACGUUAGCCAGGUCACCGACGGAGUUGACGGAAGGACAAACGUGAUUAACUCGGGUAACUUUCGGGGAUUCUUUUGAUUAACUUUAUCUUUCGGGGACUAAUAUGGAGAUCGAGGUAUCUUUCAGGGACGAAUUUGAUAUUUAACUCUUUAUCUCUUGGUACAUAAUUUAUAAAUUUCAACUCCAACAUAUCUAAAUAUUUUUAAUAUUUUUUAUUUUUAUUUAACUUUUAUUAUAUUUGAUGGGUAUUCAUUACAUGUUAAUCAUCCAAAAAGAAGUUAUAGAAUUUUUUUUGGUAUUUGUUAUCGUCAUUUUUUUAUUUUAUAAAUUUUUUAAUCAAUGUAAUUGGAUAUAAUCAUAUUAAGUAUACAUUAAAAUCAGUCAUUAAAAUCAGCUAUCAGUAUAAAAUACAUAUUGAAAUACAAAACAUACAUUACAAAUGAAUUAAACUAUACAUGUAUUUAUAUACAAAUACACUACUGACAGUUGAUUUCAUUAUACACUUAAUAUUUUUGAAGUUACGCUUAUAAAUUGGAUAUAAUUUUUUGUUAUAUGUAUAUCAAAAUUAACUACAGUAUAAAAUUCACAUUGAAAUACAAAAUAUACAUUAAAAAAGGUGAUUUAACAAUAACUUGAUGUUAGCAGGCAUGACUUUCAUGACAUUUUCAGUGUCCAUUUUGAAGCAUGAUAAGCUCUUUUUCGUAGCACUUUAUGUGAUCUCCAUCGGAGAUGGCGGAAUUAAGUCGUGUGUUCAACCUUUUGCGGCGGAUCAGUUUGAUGAAGAGAAGGAGGAGCAAAGGAAGCCAAGAGCUCUUUCUUUAAUUAUUCGUAUUUGGUCGUAGUACUUGCCAACUCUUCUGCCGUCUUCUUUAUUGUUUAUGUACAGGUAAUUUCAUUCUUUAUGGCUCCAUAUUUUUUGUUAGUUAAUUUAAAAUUAUGUAUUAAUAUAGAAAUUCAGAAUCAAUUAUAAUUUAAUGGUUAAAAGUUAUAUAUAAAUUUCACCAUUUAAAGGUAGUCGGCUCGAUGUGGUUAGUUUAUAACAACGUAUAUUGAUAUCUUAACUAUUAUUUUCGUAUAUCAUGUAGGACAAUAUUGGGUGGACUGUAGGACUAGGGUUGCCAGUAAGGGUGUGGAUAGUGCCAAUAGUAGUGAUUUUUAUUGGAAAAAAAGGUAUAAAAGGGAAAACCCUGAAGGGAGUCCCUUCGCUACAAUGGCCCAAGUUCUUGUUGCUGCAUCUCUCAAAUGGCGCCCAAACCAGUUACCAACCCAUGACACUUCUUUGUGUUAUUAUGGUCUUGAUGAUGACCAUCAUCCACUUCCUACUUUGGAACACACUCAUCACCUCAAGUGAGUUUUUAUUAACUUUUUUCAUACUCUCUUCGUUUUAAAAUAAGUAUCGCUUUUUACUUUUGAGAUUCAUUGAAAAGUUGGUGUAUUUAGACAAAGAGCUUAUUUAGAUACAUUUAUUUUUUAAUAAACUAAUAAAAAGUGAAAGCGCUUAUUUUAAAAUGGAAGAAGUAUAUAUUUUCUUUAAAUUGGGCUAAUAGUCAAAAUAAUUUUUGAAAAAUUAAGUGGACGGUAAUUUAAUCCUUGAACAAUUAAAUGUUUCAAAUAAUUUUGAAGAUACAACUUUAAAUCAGAUUGGUCCUUCCAUCAAUUAGCAGAACGACUAAGUUAGUUUUUUGUUGUAUUUUUCAAUAAUUAGUUUAAGGAGUUUGAUUUUUUAACAACUAAAUUGACAAAUACGCAAUCUUUCAAGAAAUAUUUUAACAAAUAACCAUUCUAAAUUAUUAGCUGGUUAAAUACGAUUCAAAAUUAUUUUCUUUUGAUGGCAAAAAUUGAAAACUAUAUACUAUAGAUUUUUGAACAAGGCAAUGAUGAUCGAUGAGAAUGAUGCUUCAAGCAAGAGUAGAAAUCCAUGAAGGCUAUGUUCAGUUACUAAAGUUGAAGAAGUAAAGCUUGUCCUUCGCCCCAUUCCUAUAUGGCUAUGUUGUGUCAUGUUUUUUGUUGUCCAAAGCCAACAAGUCACAUUCUUCGCCAAGCAAGGUAGCACAAUGCAACGUCACAUAGGAUCGAAGUUCAAAAUCCCUUCAGCAACACUUCUAGGGUUUGUUGGAAUUGUAAUGCUCUGUGAAAUUCCUGUCUACGACCGAGUUUUCGUGUCAGUCGCCAGAAAGUUCACAAAGCAUCACUCUGGUAUUACGUUAUUACAAAAGAUUGGUGUCGGUCUAUUUUUAUCUAUACUAGACAUGAUUGUCUCGGCACUCGUAGAGGCCAAAAGGAUUGGUGUUGCUAAACAACAUAAUCUCAUCGACGAUCCGAAUUCGAUUUUACCGAUCAGUAUCUGGUAGUUGCUACCUCAGUAUAUUCUUUUUGGAACUUCUGAAGUUUUCACAAUUAUUGGACUUCAAGAAUUGUUUUAUGAUCAAAUGCCGGAGGGAUUGAGAAGUUUGGGAGCUGCAGCAUUCUCUACCACACAGAGCCUUAUGCUUAAGUCAUAAGACAGAGGUGGCGAGGUAUUACAACCUCUAAAAAUAAAAUUUAGUACAUAUAGUAUUGUGAAAAAUGUUUAUAACUAGGAGCCUUUGAAGAAAAGGGAUAAAACAAAACCGUUAAAUUGAAAAGCGCAACACUCCGAUCGAUAACAUAAAGAAAAAACAUAAAGUAAGAAACCCAAGGGAAACCCCAAGGACAAACUACCAAAAUCUGUUCUCCAAAACAACCUCUAAGAGGAGUCAACCAGUAUAUAUAUACAUUUAUUUAGUGGAGAUAGUAACUAUCUACAUAAAGCCAAAAUAAAGCCUCGAGAAUCAAGGAUCUUCGCUAAUCCAGAAGCCUCCAGCAUGCCUCAGCGAGGAGCCACAUGUCCUGCAUCUGAAAAUCACAAAAUCCGCAUGGGUGAGAACCGGAGGUUCUCAGUAUGGUAACAGUGCCCACAUAUCUAACAUGUAAUGUCCUGGGAAAGCCGAAGGCAAUCCUAGAACUUCCAAUAGAUAAAUCAAAGCUUAUAAAUAGACUAAUCCAUAAAUGGCAACUGACUAAAGAUCUUCAGUCUAACUAAUACUUCCCUUUCCAAAUCCUUCAGACCUUACAACCACCUGCAGUAAGAUAAUAUGGCAAACACAAUUAUAUCAGACAAGGAGAUAUUCAAAUAGGAAACAGAUACGACAUUUAGACAAUUAGCAAGUAAUAUGCAGUCAAUUAGGCAAUUCCAAACAAUUCACAUAAUAUGCAUAUGAUGUAUGCCUGUCCUAAUGGCUGAUGAGUCUCAUAUGUCGGCUAUAAAGCCAACCCGACAAGUCCUGGUAGCUAACCAUUGGACUGUCACUCUGUCGUGCAUCCCCAACUCGAGUUAUUCACAACAUAAAUCAUAAUUCAUAUCCAACACCUUCACUGGUGUAUAUUCACGGGGGCGAGCUCAUCCGGAACUUUCACAGUGUCCGGCCACACUUACGACAUAGGGUCAGCAGAGUACCGAGUCUCCACCUAGAGCACAUGGUGGCUAGCCACUGCUUUCUCCCAGGGAAACUCGUAUCUCAGAUAGUGGAAGUGCAACAUUCACAUUUCAUUCAAUACGCAUAUAUGCAAUCAUACUCAGCCAUAAUUCAAUAAUGGCUCAGCCAUAAUUCGGCAAUAAUUCAGCCAUUCGGCUCAUAAUUCAAUCCAUAACCAGCCAAUUUAUUAACAAUUACAGCCCUUCGGCUCAUGGCCUAUAAAGCACUUCCACCACCAUCUUCCGUAUCUCAUACAAUCAUCUUUGAUCAUCAUUGAUCAUUAAUUCUCCCAUUUCUUCACCCACAAGUUACCACAUUUCCUAACCCUUCCCAUUGCUAGGCAUAUCAUAAAGUUUUAAGACAUAAAGGGUGAGAUCGGAGACUUAGACGUCUAAAAUUUGGCUUUAAAACUCAAAAAUCAACCUUAGGGUGAAUACAGGGUCACGCGUGCGCGUCGCCCAUGCGCACGCGUAGAAGGCAGCAAGAUACAGUGAUGCGUACUCAUCGACGCGUACGUGUCAGCCAGGCGCACGCAUGGGUAGUGAACAUUUGAAAAUAUCGCGUUCGCGUUGGCCACGCAUACGCGUGGGAGUGCGUUCUGCCAAAAAAUUUUACUAAGUCAAACGCUGCAGAAUUCACAGUUUCGAAGCGACAGGCAUAACUUCUCCGUUUCAAAUCAUUUUUCACCCGUUCUUUGAACGGCAUAAACAUCCCGGAACCAAUUUCAUUUCUAAACAAGUUUGACACAAAUCGGGGAUCCGGAGUCCAAGUUAUGCUCCAUCAAAGUAUGCCCAAAAAUCACAUUUUCGUACAAAAUCACAAGGUGCCAUUUUCAAAACAAACCAAUUCCAACCCUUUUUAAAAUCAACGAAAGCAUACCAACAAUCAACCUCAAGCCUCCUCAACUCAUAAGUUAACAUUUUUAUCAAUUCCUAACCACCAAUCCACCACUUUAAUCAAUCUAAAAUCAUCCUCACCAUCAACAUGGGUUCACUCACAAUUCAACCUCAACCAAUCAUCAAGCAUAUAUCAAAACAUGCAUAACUCUCAAGCCUCAUACAAUCAAACAUCAAUAUUCAUAAUCACAUAUAUGACCACACAAUAUUCCUCAACCAUUCAACAGCAUCAAUAAUUCAAUCCCUAUCUUAGGGCCUCUAGCCUAAGUUUUCACACCACAUUACAUUUUAGAUACAGGAAACCGAGACCAUACCUUAGCCGCUUUUCCGCUUAACCCAGAACACCUCCAAAUCACUUUUUCACAAGCUCACCGAGCUUCAACACCUCCAAGAACAUAUUUUUAGCACACCAAAGCCCUCUUCCAAGCUUUCCAAAACCUCAAUCAAGCUUCCAUAUUCACAAACACACUACCACACCCAAGGAUCAAGAAGACAAGAUUUCUCUUCUCCUUUAAGCUAGUUAGGUCCUUCAAAACAAAAUGGUGGGUUUUGUAGAGCUCGUCGCAGUGAACGCGUGGCCGCAAACGGUGCGGCAAUCAAAGCUCCGGAUCAAAAGUUAUGGUGGUUUGAAGAUCAAAUGAGAGUUGGAACUUUGGAAGAGUGUUCUUCCCCUCCCAUUUUCCUUUUUCAGCGUGAGUGAGGUUUAGAGAGGAGAGAGAGAGAGAGAGAGUGCUGAAUUGAGGAUUUUAGGUUUUGUUUGGUUGGGCCAAGGGCCCAAUAUGGGUUCGGUUGGUCCGGUUUGGCCCGUUUGGUCCAAUCUUGGGUUGAUUCCUUUAAAAUUGGUAUCGAAAUUCUUGUUUUAGUCUCCUUUAUCAUAUUAAGCCAUAAAAAUCACAUUUUUUGGCUUUCUAGAAUAAAUUCUAAUUUAUGGGUUAAUUAGUCAUUAAUUAACUGGGUUUUACACUCACUAAUUAACUGGGUUUUAUAUUCUACCCACCUAAUUGGAAAUUUUGCCUACAAAAUUCGAAUUCAAUUUCCUGAGAAUAAGUGCGGAUAGUCAGUUCGCAUCUCCGACUCAAGUUUCCAAGUGUGCUCCUCAACACCGAAUCGACUCCAUACCACUUUGACUAACGAAACCUCUUUUCCACGCAACCGUUUGAUACUCAUAUCAUCAAUUCUGAUCGGAGUCACUGGAAGCGUCAAAUCUUCUCUUAACUGAACUGAUUCAGGUUCUAACACAUGGCUAGCAUCAGGAGUAUACUUCCGAAGCUGCGACACGUGAAAUACGUCGUGCAGGUUCGAAAGGUGGCGUGGUAGAGCCAUCCGAUAUGAUAUUAGUCCAACCCUCUCCAAGAUCUGAAAUGGACCGAUGUAGCGAGGAUUCAACUUCUUCGCUUUAAUUGCCCUACCUACUCCUGUGGUUGGAGUAACCUUAAGGAAAACAUGGUCUCCUUCCUCAAAUUCUAAGGGCUUCCGCCUCUGAUCGGCGUAACUUUUCUAACAAUUCUGCGCAGUGAGUAUCCUAUCUCAGAUUUUCUUAACUUGUUCGGUGGUCUCAGCUAUCAUCUCUGGCAACAACAAGCUUUUCUCCCUAACUUCAUACUAACAUAGCGGAGAUUGACACUUCCUCCCGUACAAAGCCUCAUAUGGAGCCAUUCCGAUGCUCGCAUGGUAGCUAUUAUUGUAUGCAAACUCUACUAAUGGCAUAUACCGAUCCCAACUCACCGGUUGGUCCAAAACACAAGCCCUCAACAUAUCUUCUAGUGUUUGGAUCGUCCUCUCGAAUUGACCAUCUAUUUGAGGAUGGUAAAACGUACUCAAGCUUAAUCGGAUUCCGAAAGCUUUCUGAAAUGCACCCCAGAACCUUGAAGUGAAAUGAGGAUCUCUAUCAAAAACUAUAGUGGUAUGCACACCAUGAAGUCUCACAAUCUCCUUUAUGUACAACCGUGCUAGUUCCUCAAGGGUGUAAUUCAUUCAAAUGGGUAGAAAAUGAGCCGACUUCGUCAGUCGGUCCACAAUCACCCAGACAGCAUCAAAACCGGCUCUAGUCUUUGGCAAUCCCGACACAAAGUCCAUCACAAUGCUCUCCCAUUUCCAUUAUGGAACUUCUAAAGGUUGCAACGUCCCGGAAGGUCUCUGGUGUUCGAUCUUUAAUUUUUGACAGGUUAAACACUUUAAAACAUAUUCCGCCACAUCAUUCUUCAUACCCGGCCACCAGAACAUCGCCUUUAAAUCAUGGUAUAUCCUAGUACUCCCCGGGUGGAUAGGGAAUCCGCUUUUGUGUGCUUCCUUUAAGAUAUUUUGCCGCAAAGUGCCAACGUCCGGCACUAUGAUCCUUCCCUUGAAUCUCCGUAGCCCAUCUUGAUCCUCUGACACUCUCCACCAUUUUUCAUGCUCAAUAGCUGGCAACACCUUCGGUAACACGUCAUCGUUUUGAUGAGCCUUUAGGAGCUCGGAUUUAAAGUCACUUGAGAUCUAUAAUUGACUCAAGCACAAAGUUCCAGACACUUCUUGAACACCAAUCUUCAGACUCUCGAAUGCCUGGAGAAACUCUUCUUCUCAAAGCAUCAUCCAAGCAGCAUACAACGAAUUCUGACUUAAUGCAUCCGCUACUACAUUCGCUUUUCCCGGAUUGUAAUUCAACUCAAAGUCGUAGUCUUUCAGUAAUUUCAUCCACCUCCCCUGCCGCAUAUUAAGUUCUUUCUGAUCAAAUAGAUAUUUCAAGCUCUUGUGAUCAGAAAAAACUUGGAACUUAACCUCAUAGAGGUAAUGCCUCCACACCUUUAGCGCAAACUCAACCGCAGCAAGCUCCAAAUUGUGCGUAGGGUAGUUAACUUCAUGAGGUCUCAACUGUCGUGAGGUAUAGGCCACCACAUUACGAUGCUACAUCAACACGCACCCUAGACCCUUUAGUGAGGCAUCACAGUACACAUCAAAUGGUUGGUUCGGCUCAGGUAACACAAACACAGGCGCGGUGGUCAAAUUUCGCUUCAACGCUUGAAAGCUCUCCUCACACUCAGGAGUCCAAACAAACGGCGCAUCCUUGUGGGUUAACCUUGUCAAUGGCAAGGCUAUUUGCGAAAAGCCCUUGAUAAAUCUCCAGUAGUAGCCAGCUAAGCCCAGAAAACUCCUUAUCUCAGUUACUGAGGUUGGUCGCCCCCAAUCCAUUACUACUUUCACCUUAGAAGGAUCUACAGCUAUCCUCUGUUUACUCACCACGUGACCCAGAAACUUCACCUCACUCUUCCAGAAUUCACAUUUAGACAGUUUCGCAUAGAGUUUCUUUUCCUUCAGUAUCUGCAACACGGUCCUCAAGUGUUCUGCAUGCUCCUCUUCAGUCUUGGAAUAAAUCAGUACGUCGUCAAUGAAGACAACAACGAAUUUAUUCAGAAACGGAUGAAAAACUCUGUUCAUAUAAUCCAUAAACACUGCAGGGGUGUUUGUCAACCCAAAAGACAUUACAGUGUAUUCGUAAUGACCAUAACGAGUUCUGAAGGCGGUCUUAGGGAUGUCCUUACCCCUCACCCUUAUCUGGUGAUAAUCGGAUCGCAAAUCGAUUUUGAAGAAAACCCCAUCUCCUUGUAACUGAUCCAUGAGAUCGUCAAUCCUUGGCAGUAGGUACUUAUUCAUUAUUGUGACCUUGUUCAGCUGCCUGUAAUCAACACAGAGCCGCAUACUCCUAUCUUUCUUCUUUACCAGUAACACUGGCGCUCCCUAUGGAGAAACACUUGGUCGGAUGAAGUUCUUACCCAACAGAUCCUCUAGCUGAGACUUUAGCUCGGCCAUCUCUAGUGGUGACAUCCUAUAAAGAGCACUCAAGAUUGGUCCAGCCCCAGGCACCAACUCAAUAGCAAACUCCACCUCUUGGUUAGGUGAAAAUUCAUCAAUAUCAUCGAAAAAUAACUCUGGAAACUCACACACAACCGGAAUUUGCUCCAAGCUCUGAUCAUCACCCAAAACACCCAUGGUUAACAAGAUACCCUGACAUUCAGUCCCAAAAUAAUUCACCAUCAUAGAGUUCAGGUAAUAACUAUUCAACACAACCGGCCCUUCUGUAUCUUCCGGCAUAAAGUACACCGAUUUUGCAAAACAGUCGACCAUAACAUGGUUCUUAGAUAACCAGUCCAAACCCAAGAUAAGAUCAAGAUUGAUCAUCGGCAAGAAGAUCAAAUCAUGGACAAAAUCACAUUGCUUGACCCUAAAUGAAACUUGCGGACAUCCUAGCCUAGUUACCGUGGCUUCAUGGGUGGCAUUAUACACCUUUAGGUCAUAACCUAAAACUACAAUCUUCAAUCCUAACUCACUAGCCUUUUCGAAUGCAAUGAAUGAAUGUGUUGCUCCCAAAUCAAAUAAAGCAUUUAAAAUUUGACCAGCCAUUUUACAGUUACCUCGGAUGAGUGUCUCGGAUCCCUCGGCACCCACAGCUGAGGUGGUGAACAUCCGACCAGGCUACUGUGCUCUCCCUGCACCUUGCUUCUACUUCUCUAGACAGUUUGAGGCUCUAUGCCCCGCCUUACUACAAGAAUAGCACAAGCCCUAUCUGGCCUUGCACGGGGCUCCCGGAUGGUGACUCCCGCACCAAGCACAAGCUUGCUCAUUCUGGGGUUACUUCCCAAACCUUUUCCCUUGGGAGUUGUUGUUGGGCCUCUUGAAAGAUCCUCCCUGCUUGAAAGGCAGACCUCUAGGAGCAAAGCUCUUCCCUUGGUUCUGUGGAAAUGGCCCCCUAUGGCUUCCUCUCUCUGCAGCUACCUUUUUCACACACUCUUCAGCAACCCUACUCUUAUUCACCAACUCUGAAAAAAGUUCUGAUCUCCAUUGGUCCCACUGAGAUAAAGAUAUUGCUCCGAAGCCCUCCUUCAUACUUAAUGCACCUCCAUUCCUUGAAGUCUCCCGGAGCUACUUGACACAUGCGAGAAAACCUAAAUAGCUCCUCAAACUUGUCUGUAUACUUAGAUACGGACAUAGCACCCUGCUUCAACUGCAGUAACUACAGUUCCUUGGCCGUCCUAGCAGAAUUCGAAAAGUACUUCUUAUAGAAUUCCACCUGGAAGGCAUCCCAAGUGAUAGGGUCAUCAUCCUGCUACAGAAGACGUCGGGUUUCCUGCCACCAAUGCGAUGCUUCCCUAGUGAGUAGAUAGGUAGCAAACUCAACAGACUGCUCUUCAGGUACCAACUGUGCUUGCAGUGCUCGCUCCAAAGCCUGAAACCAGGUAUCGGCUUCAGUCGGUUUGGUAGUUCCCUUGAACUUGGGUGGAUUAACCUUUAAGAAGGUUGCUAGUGUCAUCUGGCCCUGAGCUCCACCGUCGCCAUUGCCAUUAUUGUUCAUCUGUUGCCCAAGAGCCGUAGCAGUGGCCUGCAUAGCAGCAGCCAUGUUCUCCAACACCGCCAUAAAGUUUACCGGGUCAUUUGGGUCGACCACCGGCUCACGAGCACUAGUACGACCUCUCCCACAACCUCAACCGCAUCCACGAGGUGCCAUCUGGUUCCUAUACACACCAAACAAUAGAUAUCAAGUUGAUCAGUCUCAAUAUCGGAAGUCUAGUGCUUCAAAGUCCCAAAUGCAUGCUCAUAAACGUUUAUGCCAGUUAUAACGAUUAGAUAUCCUAAUAGCACAUAACACACAUACAGAGAAUGCACAGAAGCAUAGUCAGUCCGUCCCUUAGGCUUUACAGGAACGAACUACUCUAAUACCAUAAUGUAACACCCUACCACAUAGAGCCUUAUGCUUAAGUCAUAAGACAGAUGUAGCAAGGUAUUACGAUCUCUAAAAAUAAAAUUUAGAACAUAUAGUAUUGUGAAAAAUGUUUAUAACUAGGUGCCUUUGAAGAAAAGGGAUAAAACAAAAUCGUUAAAUUGAAAAGCGCAACACUCCGAUUGAUAACGUAACGAAACAGAUAAAGGUUAGACUACGAGAAACCAAAACAAGAGAGUGCCAAACAUACGAAUAUCAAAACUCAAGACCCGGUUUGUGAAGGUAACCGGUCCAAGCAUAAAGUAUACAUACAUACAUAUAUAUAUAAACAUAAAGUAAGAAAUCCAAGGGAAACCCCAAGGACAAACUACCAAAACCUGUUCUCCAAAACAACCUCUAAGAGGAGUCAAACAGUAAAGAUAUACAUUUAUUUAUUGGAGAUAGUAACUAUUUACAUAAAGACAAAAUAAAGCCCCGAGAAUCAAGGAUCUUCGCUAGUCCAGAAGCCUCCAGCAUGCCUCAGCGAGGAGCCUCACAUCCUGGAUCUGAAAACCACAAAAUCCGCAUGGGUGAGAACCGGAGGUUCUCAGUAUGGUAACAGUGCCCACAUAUCUAACAUGUAAUGUCCUGAGAAAGCCGAAGGCAAUCCUAGAACUUCCAACAGAUAAAUCAAAGCUUAUAAAUAGACUAAUCCAUAAAUGGCAACUGACUAAAGAUCUUCAGUCUAACUAAUACUUCCCUUUCCAAAUUCUUCAAACCUUCCAACCACCAACAGUAAGAUAAUAUGGCAAACACAAUUAUAUCAGACAAGGAGAUAUACAAAUAGGAAACAGAUACGGCAUUUAAACAAUUAGCAAGUAAUAUGCAGUCAAUUAGGCAAUUCCAAACAAUUCACAUAAUAUGCAUAUGAUGUAUGCCUGUCCUAAUGGCUGAUGAGUCUCAUCUGUCGGUUAUAAAGCCAACCUGACAAGUCCUAGUAGCUUACCAUUGGACUGUCCCUCUGUCGUGCAUCCCAACUCGAGUUAUUCACAACAUAAAUCAUAAUUCAUAUCCAACACCCUCACUGGUGUAUAUUCACGGGGGCGAGCUCAUCCGGAACUUUCACAGUGUCCGGCCAUACUUACGACAUAGGGUCAACAGAGUAUCGAGUCUCCACCUGGAGCACAUGGUGGCUAGCCACUGCUUUCUCCCAGGGAAACUCGUAUCUCAGAUAGUGGAAGUGCAACAUUCACAUUUCAUUCAAUACGCAUAUAUGCAAUCAUACUCAGCCAUAAUUCAAUAAUGGCUCAGCCAUAAUUCGGCAAUAAUUCAGCCAUUCGGCUCAUCAUUCAAUCCAAAAACCAGCCAAUUUCUUAACAAUUACAGCCCUUCGGCUCAUGGCAUAUAAAGCACUUCCACCACCAUCCUCCGUAUCUCAUACAAUCAUCUUUGAUCAUGAUUGAUUAUUAAUUGUCCUCUUUCUUCACCAACAAGUUACCACAUUUCCUAGCCCUUCCCAUUGCUAGGCAUAUCAUAAAGUUUUAAGAUAUAAAGGGUGAGAUCGGAGGCUUAGAAGUCUGAAAUUUGGCUUUAAAAACUCAAAAAUCAACCUCGGGGUGAAAACAGGGUCACGCGUGCGCGUUGCCCAUGCUCACGCAUGGAAGGCAACAAGAUACAGUGACGCGUACGCGUCCCCCACGCGCACGCGUGGAUGGAAGAAAAGCAAAGUGACGCCUGUGCGUCUGCCACGCACAAAACCAGCACAAUUCCCGCACAACUCUCGGGAGUUUUGGCUGGACAAUUGAUUUAGCUCAUCGACGCAUACGCGUCAGUAAGGCACACUCAUGGGUAGUGAACAUUUGAAAACAACGCGUGUGCAUCGGCUACGCAUACGCGUGGGAGUGCGUUCUGCCAAAAAUUUUACUAAGUCAAAAGCUGCAGAAUUCACAGUUUCAAACCCCAAUCUUCUGACUAGCAUAACUUCUCCGUUUUAAAUCAUUUUUCACCCGUUGUUCGAACGGCAUAAACAUCUCGGAUCCAAUUUCAUUUCUAAAUAAGUUAGACACAAAUCGGGGAUCUGGAGUCCAAGUUAUGCUCCAUCAAAGUAUGCCCAAAAACCAUAUUUUCAUACAAACCUUAAGGUUCCAUUUUCAAAACAAACCAAUUCCAACCCUUUUUAAAAUCAACGAAAGCAUACCAAAAAUCAACCUCAAGCCUCCUCAACUCAUAAGUUUACAUUUUUAUCAAUUCACAACCACCAAUCCACCACUUUAACCAAUCUAAAUCAAAUAACUCACCUUCAAACACAAUGUCAUGUUAUAUAUAUAUUUUCUCAUCCCAAAUUCCAAUAAUACCAUUCCCAAUCAACCAUCAUUACAUACAAUCAAUAUCAUUCUCACUAUCAACAUGGGUUCACUCAUAAUUCAACCUCAACCAAUCAUCAAGCAUAUAUCAAAACAUGCAUAACUCUCAAGCCUUAUACCAUCAAACAUCAAUAUUCAUAAUCACAUAUAUGACCACACAAUAUUCCUCAACCAUUCAACAACAUCAACAAUUCAAUCCCUAUCUUAGGGCCUCUAGCCUAAGUUUUCACACCACAUUACAUUUUAGAUACAGAAAACCGAGACCAUACCUUAGUCACUUUUUGGCUUAACCCGGAACACCUCCAAAUCACUUUAUCACAAGCUCACCAAGCUUCAACACCUCCAAGAACAUAGUUUUAGUACACCAAAGCCCUCUUCCAAGCUUUCCAAUAUCUCAAUCAAGCUUCUAUAUUCACACACAUACUACCACACCCAAGGAUCAAGGAGACAAGAUUACUCUUCUCCUUUAAGCUAGUUGGUUCCUCAAGAAAAAAAUAGUGGGUUUUGCAGAGCUUGUCGCGGUGAACGCGUGGCUGCAAACGGUGCGGCAAUCGGAGCUCUGGAUCAAAAGUUAUGCUGGUUUGAAGAUCAAAUGAGAGUUGGAACUUUGGAAGAGUGUUCUUCCCCUCCCAUUUUCCUUUUUCAGUGUGAGUGAGGUUUAGAGAAGAGAGAGAGAGUGCUGAAUUGAGGGUUUUAGGUUUUGUUUGGUUGAGCCAAGGGCCCAAUAUAGGUCCGGUUGGCCCGGUUCGGCCCGUUCGGUUCAAUCUUGGGCCGAUUCCUUUAAAAUCGGUAUCAAAAUUCUCUUUUUAGUCUCUUCUAUCAUAUUAAGCCCUAAAAAUCACAUUUUUUGGCUUUCUAGAAUAAAUUCUAAUUUAUGGGUUAAUUAGUCAUUAAUUAACCGGGUUUUACAUUCACUGAUUAACCGGGUUUUACAUUAUUGUAAGGUCCCACAUCGGUUGGGGAGGGGAACGAAGCAUGCUGAUGAGUCCAUAUUUUAUGAUAUAUUUUGGUUUGAUUUGAGUGGAUUUCAUCACAUAAACCCACAUUUAUUCAUCUAAAUAGCAUGCUUUUGGAAUUUCUUCCUAAAUUGUGCUUGAAAGUGAAAACAUGCUCUUUUGUGCUUAAUUUAUUCAAUUUUAAUUCACUUUUAUCCCAUUUGGUGCCUUGAUGUAUUUGUUAAGUGAUUUCAGGUUUUCAAGGCAAGUAUGGGUUGAAGAAGUGAGGAAAAGAGCAUGCAAAAGGGAAGAAACCAUGAAGAAAUGGAGUUUGGAAGUUCCAGCACCCGUGCGUACUGACGAACAGAUUUCUGCUAGUAAAGAAUUCACAAAAUAAAUUCCCGUUGUAAGUAUAGUUUCUAAACCAACAAAGAAUCCUUUCGUACAAAAGUUUUGGUUGUCACUAAAGCAAAUCCAAUAAAAUUGAUAACCGAAGUAUUUAAACCUGGGGUCAUCUCUCAAGGAAUUACAGGGAGGUGUAUUUAUUAUUGGUUAUGGAAAAGUAUCUUUUUUUUUGGAGGUUUUUUUGAAUAAGGAACAAGAAAAGUAAAUUGCAAGAAUUAAAUUAAUAACUAAUAAAGCUCUUGGCAAGGUAUGAGAACUGGAAAUCCUAUCCUAGUUAUCCUUAUCAAUUGUGAUGAGAAUUGUUUAUUGCUCCCACUUAGUCAACUCCUAUGGAAAGACUAGCUUUAGAGGGAUCCAAAUCAAUCAGCAAAUUCCAAUUUUCAAUCAACAAGGAGUUUGAUAACUCAAGUGUCACCAAUUACUCAACCAAAGCCAAAAGGGAAAAAAUCUAAAUUAUUUAUAUCAUAAAUAGAAGAAAGCAAUCAUAAAUCUGAAAUACCUCAAAUUGCAUUAAAUAAAAAAAUCAAAUCUAACAUGGAGUUCAUAAAUCAAAUUGGGAAAAUAAACAAACUAAAGUCAUAGAAUAAAUAGAAGUAGAAAAGAAACUGAAAUUAAAGAAACAUUGAACCUGGAAUAAAGAAGAAGAAAUCCUAAUCCUAAAACCUAAGAGAGAGGAGAGAGCCUCUCUCUCUAGAAAACUACAUCUCAAACCUAAAUUCUGAAUGAUGGAGAGUGUGUAUGAAUGAAUGGAUGGAUUCUCCCACUCUGUAGCCUCUAAUCUGUGUUUUCUGGGCCAAAAACUGGGUCAAAAACAGCCCAGAAAUCGCCCCCAGCAAUUUCUGAUAUGUCCAGCACGCGGCAAAGUCACGCGUACGCGUGGAUUAAAUUUUCUCCAAGUCACGCGUGCGCGUGAUCCACACGUGCGCGUGAUCCACGCGUGCGCGUCGUCUAUCUUCAGAACAACUAUGACAAAUUAUAUACCGUUGCGAAGCCCCGGAUGUUAGCUUUCCAACACAACUAGAACCAUCUCAUUUGGACCUCUGUAGCUCAAGUUAUGGUCGAUUUAGUACAAAGAGGUCAGGCUGGACAGCUUUUGCAAUUCCUUCAAUUUCUUGUAUUCCUUCCACUUUUGCAUGCUUCCUUUCCAUCCUCUAAGCCAUUCCUGCCCUAUAAACCCUGAAAUCACUUAACACACAUAUCAAGGCAUUGAAUGGUAAUAAGAGAGGAUUAAACAUAGCAAAAUUUAAGGCCAAAGAAGUAUGUUUUCACUCAUAGCACAAAAUCUGGAAGGAAAGUGUAAAACAUGCAAUUUACAUGAAUAAAUGUGAGAAUAGUGGAUAAAACCCACUCAAUUAAGCACAAGAUGUACCACGAAAUAGUGGUGCAUCAAAUCUCCCCACACUUAAACAUUAGCAUGUCCUCAUGCUAAGCUCAAGAGAAACUAUAAGAGUGAAGAGGAAUGGUAGAAAGUAUGAAAUGCAACCUAUCUAUAUGAAUGCAACUACAUGCAAAAUGUUUCUACCUGCUUGGUCAAAAGUAAACAAAUCCUUCAAGAAGAAAUAUGAACUGGAUCUCACUAAUUCAAAUCAUAAAAUAAGGUACAAGUAAACUUGCAAAAGAAAAUAGCUCGUGAAAGCCGGGAACAAAGAAUCGAGCAUCGAACCCUCACUGGAAGUGUAUGCACUCUAAUCGCUCAGGUGUUUAAGGUUCGAUCUCUCAAUUCUCUACUAAUCUUGCUUUCCAAGACUUGCUCUUCAUCUAACAAUCAACAAAAAUUUAAUGCACGAAAUACACAUAUCAAGAGGUCUUUUAAGGGUUGUAAUGGGGUUAGGGUCAAGGUAGGAUUGUAUUUGGUUAAGUAGACUAAAAUCUGAAUCCUUAAUUAACCUAAACUUCUCACCUAACUUAAGACAAUCCAUGUAAUCAGAAUAUAAAAUCUAACUACCCAUCAACUAUAUUUUUCACAUAUUCAUGCCUCCGAAUUUGAGUACAACUCAUAUGCAUUGCUAUCAUUUACUUUGGGGCAUUUUGUCCCCUUUUUAUUGUUUGCUCUUUUUCUUUUCUUUUUCUCUUUUUUUUUUGUAUUUUAUUAUUAUUUUUUUCUUUUGUUUUAUGUUUUUUUUUCAAUGCAUAUGAUUAAGGUAUUGAAUGCAUAAACAUGUCCUCAACAUUCUUUUUCACAUUUUCUCAAGAAUUUACAACACCCACUUCUCAAACUAAAUAUUUUCAAUCCCAAUUUCCCCACACUUAAUUUGUGAGCACCCUCACUAGUCCAAGCUAACCAAGGAUUCAAAUUAAGGACAUUAUUGUUUUCCGCUUAGAGUUAAUGAUGUGCUAAAGUAAAGAACAAAGGGGUAAAAUAGGCUCAAAAUUGGUUUGCAAGGGAUAAUGAAAGGUAAGGCCAUAUGGGUAUGUAAGCUUAGUGAAUAGUAGUAAUUGCAUUGAUUCAUGAGGAACAGCAGAGCUCCACACCUCAAUCUAUAAGGUGUAUAAACUCCACCAUGGAAAAUACAUAAGAACAAAAGGUCUAGGCAUGGCCGUGAGGCCAGCCUCCAUGGUCUAAGGACUAAGCGUCCAGAGAUAUCAAAAUACAAUAGCUAAAGGUCCUAUUUAUAAUGAACUAGUAGCCUAGGGUUCACAGAAAUGAGUAAAUGAUGUAGAAAUCCACUUCCGGGCCCACUUGGUGUGUGCUUGAGCUGAGCAUUGAAGCUUUCACGUGCAUAGCCUUCUCUUGGAGUUAAACGCCAGUUCUGGUGCCAGUUUGGGCGUUUAACUCCAGCUUUUGUGCCAGUUCUGGCGUUUAACACCAGAAAAGGGGGUCUCUAAUCGGCGUUUUGACGCCAAUUUGGGCCAUCAAAUCUCGAGCAAAGUAUGGACUAUUAUAUAUUGCUGGAAAGCCCAAGAUGUCUACUUUCUAACGCAAUUGAGAGCGCGCCAAUUGGGCUUCUGUAGCUCAAGAAAAUCCACUUUGAGUGUAGGGAGGUUAGAAUCCAACAGCAUCUGCAGUCCUUUUUCAGCCUCUGAAUCAGAUUUUUGCUCAAGUCCCUCAAUUUCAGCCAGAAAAUACCUGAAAUCACAGAAAAACACACAAACUCAUAGUAAAAUCUAGAAAUGUGAUUUUUAAUUAAAAACUAAUAAAAAUAUAAUAAAAAGUAUCUAAAAUAUACUAAAAACUACCUAAAAAUAGUGCCAAAAAGCGUAUAAAUUAUCCGCUCAUCACAACACCAAACUUAAAUUGUUGCCUGUCCCCAAGCAACUAAAAACAAAAUAGGAUAAAAAGAAGAGAAUAUACAAUAAAUUCCGAAAACAUCUAUGAAGAUCAGUCUUAAUUAGAUGAGCGGGGCUUUUAGCUUUUUGCUUCUGAACAGUUUUGGCAUCUCACUUUAUCCUUUGAAGUUCAGAAUGAUUGGCAUCUAUAAGAACUCAGAAUUCAGAUAGUGUUAUUGAUUCUCAUAGUUCAGUAUGUUGAUUCUUGAACACAGUUACUUUAUGAGUCUUGGCCGUGACCCUAAGCAUUUUGUUUUCCAGUAUUACCACCGGAUACAUAAAUGCCACAGACACAUAAUUGGGUAAACCUUUUCAGAUUGUGACUCAGCUUUGCUAGAGUCCCCAAUUAGAGGUGUCCAGAGCUCUUAAGCACACUCUUUUUACUUUGGACCACGACUUUAACCGCUCAGUCUCAAGCUUUUCACUUGACACCUUCACACCACAAGCACAUGGUUAGGGACAGCUUGGUUUAGCCGCUUAGGCCAGGAUAUUAUUCCUGUGAGCCCUCCUAUCCAUUAAUGCUCAAAGCCUUGGGUCCUUUUUACCCUUGCCUUUUGGUUUAAAGGGUUAUUGGCUUUUUCUGCUUGCUUUUUCUUUUUCUUUUAUUAUUAUUUUUUUCUUUUUCGCCAUUUUUUUUCACUGUUUUUUCUUGCUUCAAGAAUCAAUUUUAUGAUUUUCAAAUUAUCAAUAACAUUUUUCCUUUUUCAUUAUUCUUUCAAGAGCCAACAAUUUUAACAUUCAUAAACUUCACUAUCAAAAAUAUGCAUUGUUCAAUCAUUCAUUCAGAAAACAAAAAAAUAUUGCCACCACAUCAAAAUAAUUAAACUAUUUUAAAAUUCAAAAUUCAUGUACUUCUUGUUCUUUUUCAAUUAAGACAUUUUUCAUUUAAGAAAGGUGAAGGAUUCAUAGGACAUUCAUAGCUUUAAGGUAUAGACACGUAGACACUAGUGAUCAUGUAAUAAGACACAAACAUAAAUAAAACAUAAAGCAUAAUUUUCGAAAAACAGAAAAAUAAGAACAAGGAAAUUAAAGAACGGGUCCACCUUAGUGAUGGCAGCUUGUUCUUCCUCUUGAAGAUCUUAUGGAGUGCUUGAGCUCCUCAAUGUCUCUUCCUUGCCUUUGUUGCUCCUCCCUCAUGGCUCUUUGGUCUUUUCUAAUCUCAUGAAGGAGGAUGGAAUGCUCUUGGUGCUCCACCCUUAGUUGUCCCAUAUUGGAACUUAAUUCUCCUAAAGAGGUGUUAAUUUGCUCCCAAUAGUUUUCUGGAGGAAAGUGCAUUCCUUGAGGCAUCUCAGGAAUUUCAUGAUGAAGAAUUUUCUCAUGCUCUUAUUGAGGUCCAUGAGUGGGCUCUCUUGUUUGCUCCAUCCUUUUCUUAGUGAUGGGCUUGUCCUCAUCAAUGAAGAUGUCUUCCUCUAUGUCAAUUCCAACUGAAUUGCAGAGGUGACAAAUGAGAUGAGAGAAGGCUAACCUUGCCAAAGUAGAGGACUUGUCCGCCACCUUAUAGAGUUCUAGGGAUAUAACCUCAUGAACUUCUACUUCCUCUCCAAUCAUGAUGCUAUGGAUCAUGAUAGUCCGAUCUACAGUAACUUCAGACCGGUUGCUAGUAGGAAUGAUUGAAUCGUUGGAUGAACUCCAACCAUCCCCUAGCCACUGGCUUGAGGUCAAGCCUUCUUAGUUGAACCGGCUUCCCUCUUAAAUCUCUCUUCCAUUGAGCGCCUUCCACACAAAUGUCCAUAAGGACUUGGUCCAACCUUUGAUCAAAGUUGACCCUUCUAGUGUAAGGGCGUGCAUCUCCUUGCAUCAUUGGCAAGUUGAAUGCCAACCUUACAUUUUCCAGACUGAAAUCUAAGUAUUUCCCCCGGACCAUUGUAAGCCAAUUCUUUGGGUCCGGGUUCACACUUUGAUCAUGGUUUUUGGUGAUCCAUGCAUUGGCAUAGAACUCUUGAACCAUUAAGAUCCCGACUUGUUGAAUGGGGUUGGUGAUAAUUUCCCAACCUCUUCUUCGAAUCUCAUGUCAGAUCUCUGGAUAUUCACUCUUUUUAAGCUUGAAGGGGACCUCGGGGAUCACCUUCUUCUUGGCCACAACUUCAUAGAAGUGGUCUUGAUGCACCUUUGAGAUGAAUCUCUCCAUCUCCCAUGACUCAGAGGUGGAAGCAAUUGCCUUCCUUUCCUCUUUCUAGAGGUUUCUCCGGCCUUAGAUGCCAUUAGUGGUUAUGGAAAACAAAAAGCUUUAGCUUUUCCCACACCAAACUUAGAAUGGUUGCUCGUCCUCGAGCAAAAGAAGAAAGAAAAGAGUAGAAGAAGAAGAAUUGAGGGAGAUGGAGGGGGUUUAGUGGUUUGGCCAAGGAGGAGAGGUAGUGUUUGUGAUAUGUGGAAAUGAAGAAUGAAGAGGGGUUUAUAUAGGGGUGGAAAGAGAGGGUAGGUUUCGUGUAUGUGUGGGUGGGUUUGGGAGGGAAGUGAUUUGAAUUUGAAUGGUGAGGUAGGUGGGAUUUUAUGAUGGAUGGAUGUGGAUUGGUGAAGAGAUUAUAGAGAAGAGAGUAGGAUUUGAUAGGUGAGGGAUUUUUGGGGAAGAGGUAUUGAGGUGAUUGGUCAUGGUGGGUGGGGAAGAGUGUUAUGGAAAGGUGUGAAGAAGAGAGAGAGAGUUGAGGUAGGUGGGGAUCCUGUGGGGUCCACAGAUCCUGAGGUGUCAAGGACUUCUCAUCCCUGCACCAUGUUGGCGUGUAAACGCCCUUUUGAGUGCCAAUCCUGGCGUUAAAUGCCAGGUUGCUGCCCAUUUCUGGCGUUUAAUGCCAACUUUUCUCCCCUUUCUGGCGUUAAACGCAAGCUUUUCUCCAUUUUCUGGCGUUAAACGCCAGCUUUGUGUCCCUUUCUGGCGUUAAACGCCCAGAAUGGUGUCAGACUGGGCGUUUAACACCCAUUCUGCUACCCUUACUGACGUUUAAACGCCAGUGAGUUCCUCCUCCAGAAUGUGCUAUUUUUAAUGUUGUUUUUCAUUCUAUUUUUGCUUUUUCAAUUGUUUUUGUGACUCCACAUGAUCAUUAACAUAAAGAAAACAUAAAAUAGUAAUGGAAAAUAAAUAAAUAUGAUUAAAUAACAUUGGGUUGCCUCCCAACAAGCGCUUCUUUAGUGUCAGUAGCUUGACAGUGAUCUCUCAUGGAGCCUCACAAAGAUUCAGAGCAUGGUUGGGGCCUCCCAACACCAAACUUAGAGUUUGAAUGUGGGGGUUCUGUUUGACUCUGUAGUGAGAAAAGCCUUUCAUGCUUAUUCUCCAUGUGUACAGAAGGAGACCCUUGAACCUUGAACACAAGGUAGUCCUCAUUCACUUGAAGGACCAACUCUCCUCUGUCAACAUCAAUCACAGCUUUUGCUGUGGCUAGGAAGGGUCUGCCAAGGAUGAUGGUUUCAUCCCUAUUCUUCCCAGUGUCCAGGAUUAUAAAGUCAGCAGGGAUGUAAAGGCCUUCAACCUUCACCAGGACAUCCUCUACAAUUCCAUAAGCCUGUUUCCUUGAAUUGUCUGCCAUCUCCAGUGAGAUUCUUGCAACUUGUACCUUAAGGGUCCCCAGUUUCUCCAUUACAGAGAGUGGCAUGAGGUUUAUACUUGACCCCAGGUCACACAGAGCCUUCUCAAAGGUCAUGGUGCCUAUGGUACAAGGUAUUGAGAACUUUCCAGGAUUCUGUCUCUUCUGAGGUAAUUUCAGUUGAGCCAGAUCAUUUAGUUCUUUGAUGAGUAAUGGAGGUCUCCCAAGUCUCAUUACCAAGUAACUUGGCAUUUAGCUUCAUGAUUUCUCCAAGGUAUUUAGCAACUUGCUCUUCAGUAACAUCUUCAUCCUCUUCAGAGGAAGAGUAUUCAUCAGAGCUCAUGAAUGGCAGAAGUAGGUUUAAUGGAAUCUCUAUGGUCUAUGUAUGAGCCUCAGAUUCUCAUGGUUCCUCAAAAGGGAACUCCCUUCUGCCCAGAGGAUGUCCCAUGAGGUUUGUCUCACUGGGACUCACGUCCGCAUCACUCUCUCUAGGUUCGGCCAUGUUGGUCUUAGUUAUGGCCUUACACUCUCUUUUUGGGUUUUCUUUUGUAUUGCUUGGGAGAGUACUAGGAGGAUUUUCAGUAAUUCUCUUGCUCAGCUGACCCACUUGUGCCUCCAAAUUUCUAAUGGAGGAUCUUGUUUCAUUCAUGAAACUUAGUGUGGCCUUAGAUAGAUCAGAGACUAUGGUUGCUAAGCCAGAAUGAUUCUGCUCAGAGUUCUCUGUUUGUUGCUGAGAAGAUGAUGGAAAAGGUUUGCUACUGCCAAACCUAUUUCUUUCACCAUUAUUGUUGUUGAAACCUUGUUGAGGUUUCUGUUGGUACUUCCAUGAGAGAUUUGGAUGAUUUCUCCAUGAAGGAUUAUAGGUGUUGAUAGGGUUCUCCCAUGUAAUUCACCUCUUCCAUUAAGGGGUUCUCAGGAUCGUAAGCUUCUUCUUCAGAGGAAGCUUCUUUAGUACUGCCUAUUGCUGCUUGCAUGCCAAACAGACUCUGAAAAAUCAUAUUGACUUACUGAGUCAAUAUUUUGUUCUGAGCCAAUAUGGCAUUCAGAGUGUCAACCUCAAGAACUCCUUUCUUCUGAGUUGUCCUAUUAUUCACAGGAUUCCUUUCAGAAGUGUACAUGAAUUGGUUAUUUGUGACCAUUUCAAUGAGUUCCUGGGCUUCUUCAGGCGUCUUCUUCAGACGAAGAGAACCACCUGCAGAGUUGUCCAAUGACAUCUUGAACAGUUCAGACAGACCAUUAUAGAAGAUACAUAUGAUGCUCCAUUCUGAAAGCAUGCCAGAAGGACACCUUCUGAUCAAUUGCUUGUAUCUUUCCCAAGCUUCAUAGAGGGAUUCGCCUUCUUUCUGUCUGAAGGUCUGGACUUCCACUCUAAGAUUACUCAAUUUUUGAGGUGGAAAGAACUUUGCCAAGAAGGCAUUGACUAACUUUUCCCAAGAGUUCAGGCUUUCUUUAGGUUGUGAGUCCAACCAUGUCCUAGCUCUGUCUCUUACAGCAAAAGGGAAGAGCAUAAGUCUGUAGACCUCGGGGUCAACCCCAUGGGUCUUAUCAGUGUCAUAGAUUUGCAACAAUUCAGCUAAAAACUGAUGAGGAUCUUCCAAUGGAAGUCCAUGAUACUUGCAAUUCUGCUGCAUUAGAGAAACUAAUUGAGGCUUAAGCUCAAAGUUAUUUGCUCCAAUGGCAGGAAUGGAGAUGCUUCUUCCACAGAAUUCAGAAGAAGGUGCAAUGAAGUCACCAAGCAUCUUCUUUGCGUUGUUGGCAUUGUUGUCAUUUUCGGCUGCCAUGUCUUCUUCUUUUCCGAAAAUUUCUGUUAGGUCCUCUCCAGAGAGUUGUGCUUUAGCUUCUCUUAGCUUUCUCUUCAAGGUCCUUUCAAGUUCAGGAUUAGCUUCAACAAGAAUGCCUUUGUCUUUGUUCCUACUCAUAUGAAAGAGAAGAGAACAAGAAAGUAUGGAAUCCUCUAUGUCACAGUAUAGAGAUUCCUUGAGGUGUCAGAGGAAAGGAAGAAUAGAAGGAGGAGGUAGAGAGAGGAGAAUUCGAACUUAUAGAGAGAGAGAGAGAGAAUUCGAAUUGCUAAUAGAGGAGGAGUGUUAGUCUUUAAAUAGAAGGAGGUGAGAAGGGGGAGAGAAUUUUCGAAAAUAAAUUUAAAAAGAUUUUGAAAUAAAAAGGAAUUUUGAAAAAGUGGUUGAUGGUUUUCGAAAAUUAAAAUUGAGAAAGUAGUUAAGUGAUUUUGAAAGAGAUUUUGAAAUUGGCAACCAAAAAGAUAUGAUUGAAAAUUAUUUUGAAAAAGAUGUGAUUGAGAAGAUAUUAUUGAGAAGAUAUGAUUUAAAAAGAUAUGAUUGAAUAAUUUAAAAAGAUUUGAUUUUGAAAAAAUGAUGAAAAUUUGAAAAAGAUUUGAAUUAAAAACAAAAUCUCCCCUCCUGUGCCAUCCUGGCGUUAAACGCCUAGAAUGGUAUCCAUUCUGGCGUUUAACGCCCAAAAUACUACCCUUUUGGGCAUUUAACGCCCAACCAGGGUACCUGGCUGGCGUUUAAACGCCAGAUUUCCUUCCUCACUGGGCGUUUUGAACGCCCAGCUUUUUCUCUGUAAUUCCACUGCUGUAUGUUCUAAAUCUUCAAUUCUCUGUAUUAUUGACUUGAAAAGACACAAUUUUGAAAAUUUUUUGAAUUUUUAAUGGUGAGAGAGAACAACAACAAAAUGAAACUAAUCAUGAAAAACUAAGAUCAAAUAAACAAUGCAUGCAAGACACCAAACUUUGAAAUUUUCAUAUUAGAGACACUGACAAAUUGAGAAUGCAUAUGAAAAACAACAAAAGACACAAAACAAGAGAAUUUAAAGAUCAGACAAAGAAAAUCAUCAAGAACAACUUGAAGAUCAAUGAAUAACAUAAUGCCUAUGUAUUCGAAAAAUGCAAGAAAGAUAGAAAUAUGCAAGACACCAAACUUAAAAUGUGACACUAGACUCGAACAAGAAGCACAAAAUAUUUAUGAUUUUAUAAAAAACUUUUGUAUUUUUUUCGAAAAUUAUUUGGAAAAAGAAAAUAAGGAAUUCAAAUUCUUAAUGAGAAUUCCAGGAAUCGUACAAUAUUAGUCUAAAACUCCGGUUCAGGAAUUAGACAUGGCUUACUAGCGAACCAAGCUAUCGGUGAAAGCUUUGGUCCAAAACACUAGACAUGGCCAGCUAAGCUUUAGCAGAUCAUUAUAAAACUCUAGAAUUCAUUCUUAAAAAUUUUGAAGAAAAAUAUAUAAUAAAUUUUUUUUUGAAAAUUUUUUUUCGAAAAUAAAAUAAAAUUACCUAAUUUGACCAACAAGAUGAACCGUCAGUUGUCCAAACUCGAACAAUCCCCAGCAACGGCACCAAAAACUUGGUACACGAAAUCGUGAUCGCACACUUUUCACACAACUUCGUGUAGCUAACCAGCAAAUGCACUGGGUCGUCCAAGUAAUACCUUACGUGAGUAAGGGUCGAUCCCACGGACAUUGUCGGCUUGAAGCAAGCUAUGGUCAUCUUGUAAAUCUCAAUCAGGCGGAUUCAAAUGAUUAUGGAGAAUUGAUAAUUAAAAUAAAACAUAAGAUAGGAUAAAGAUACUUAUGCAAUUCAUUGGUAGGAAUUUCAGAUAAGCGAAUGGAGAUGCUUUGUUCUUUCUGAAUCUCUGCUUUCCUAUUGCCUUCAUCCAAUCAUUCAUACUCCUUUCCAUGGUAAGCUGUAUGUUGGGGGAUCACCGUUGUCAAUGGCUACCGUCCAUCCUCUCAGUGAAAAUGAUCCAAAAUGCGCUGUCACCGCACGGCUAAUCAUCUGUCGGUUCUCGAUCAUGUCGGAAUAGGAUCCAUUGAUCCUUUUGCGUAUGUCACUACGCCCAACACUCGUGAGUUUGAAGCUCGUCACAAUCAUUCCAUCCCAGAUCCUACUCAGAAUACCACAGACAAGGUUUAGACGUUCCGGAUCUCAAGAAUGCUGCCAAUUGAUCUAGCUUACACAACGAAGACUCUAAUAUCUCGGACUCGGUCCCCUGUAUUAGAUAUCCAAGAGAUAUGCAUUCAAGCUUGUUUUUAUGUAGAACGAAAGUGUUUGUCAGGCACGUGUUCAUAGGUGAGAAUGGUGAUGAGUGUCACUUAAUCAUCACAUUCAUCAUGUUCUUGGGUGCGAAUGAAUAUCUUAGAAUAAGAAUAAGCUUGAAUUGAAUAGAAAACAGUAGUAAUUGCAUUGAUUUAUGAGGAACAGCAGAGCUCCACACCUUAAUCUAUGAGGUGUAGAAACUCCACCGUGGAAAAUACAUAAGAACAAAAGGUCUAGGCAUGGCCGUGAGGCCAGCCUCCAUGGUCUAAGGACUAAGCGUCCAGAGAUAUCAAAAUACAAUAGCUAAAGGUCCUAUUUAUAAUGAACUAGUAGCCUAGGGUUUACAGAAAUGAGUAAAUGAUGUAGAAAUCCACUUCCGGGCCCACUUGGUGUGUGCUUGGGCUGAGCAUUGAAGCUUCCACGUGCAUAGGCUUCUCUUGGAGUUAAACGCCAGUUCUUGUGCCAGUUUGGGCGUUUAACUCCAGCUUUUGUGCCAAUUCUGGCGUUUAACGCCAGAAAAGGGUCUCUGACCGGCGUUUUGACGCCAAUUUGGGCCAUCAAAUCUCGGGCAAACUAUGGACUAUUAUAUAUUGAUGGAAAGCCCAAGAUGUCUACUUUCCAACGCAAUUGAGAGCGCACCAAUUGGGCUUCUGUAGCUCAGGAAAAUCCACUUUGAGUACAGGGUGGUCAGAAUCCAACAGCAUCUGCAGUCCUUUUUCAGCCUCUGAAUCAGAUUUUUGCUCAAGUCCCUCAAUUUCAGCCAGAAAAUACCUGAAAUCACAGAAAAAUACACAAACUCAUAGUAAAGUCCAUAAAUGUGAUUUUUAAUUAAAAACUAAUAAAAAUAUAAUAAAAAGUAACUAAAACAUACUAAAAACUACCUAAAAACAGUGCCAAAAAGCAUAUAAAUUAUCCGCUCAUCAGUUGACUAGGACUUAUGGAUUGAGAUCAAUUAUGUCCUUUUGACUAAUUCGCAAGUAAGAUUGACUAAUUGGGAUUAAUUCCACACAAUUGCCAUGUUUGUGGUCUAUAACUUGGAUAGGAAUCCUAAAUUCCUCAAUUCUCACCAAGAGCCCUUUUUAGCAAUUAAUUUCCUUUUUCAUUGUUUCUUAUUGCUUUGACUUCAAUUCCUUGCAUGCUAUUUAAUUUCUUUCCAUUUACAUUACUUACUUCUCUUGCCAUCCCAUGCUCUCUCAUAGCAAUGAUAUGACAUUUUAUUGCAACUCCUUGGAAAGACGACCCGGGAGUUAAUUACUCUCGGUUAUUCUGUAUUUGAUUUAAUAUUUGAUCUUGAGAAUUCAUUGUUGGUUUGGACUAUGCUACCAACAAAUUGAUUCUUAUUUUGAUUGAUUCCUAACCAGCAAUAAUUCUCUCGUCAAAUUUGGUGUCGUUGCCGGGAGUUGCAAUGGUGUAUAUUUUUUGCUAUUGUAAAUACGUAAAUAGCUUGCUUGUUGGUUGUCUUUUUUAUGGUUAGGAUUGGGAUCCCGGAGGACAUUGGACAUUCUAGCAUUGGUGGGGAAGUCAAGCACAAGCCACCAUAGCAAGGGUUCUCCCAAUUUUCUAACUUAAAGACAUUAAAUAAAAGUGUUUGGUAACUCCUUUCUAACCCUCUCUUUGUGCAUAGUUUCAAUUUAUUGCAUUUUGUCUCUUGUAGAUAGUUUAAGUUAGUUUAAUUUCAAGCUUAAUUUGCUUAAAUUUUAGUUUAGAUUAUGUGUUUUUGAUGAAUAAUAUGUUUUAGGGUUAAAAAGCUAUUUUGGAUGUCAAGUCCAGCCUUAGAGCAUUAAAAUUUUUUUGAUAAAAACAGAGCAUGUGCGUGCGCACACACCUGUGCGUACGCACACAACCCUAAGUUUCGCAUUCUGUGCGCUCACACCCACCUGUGAGAUCGCACACCAGCUUAUGCACCUUCUGUUGGGAGCGUUAGCACACCUUGUGCGUCCGCAUCCCCCUCUUUUUGCGCCUUGUGCGUGCGCACGGACCUGUGUGUGUACGUACAAACAUCGUGAUAGCUGGCAAUUUUGAUGCUCCAUGUUAAAAAAAAUGGCUUUCUGUGCGUGGGCACAGCCCUGUACCCACGCACACCUCAAAACAAGGCCUCUGGUCGCGGCGUUAGCACGCAUAGUGCGAACGCACAACCUUUUAAUUUUUUCCCAUCGACGCGUACGCGUGACCCAUGCGCACGCGUCGCCUUACAUUUCCACAACACCACGCGCACGCGUCCACGACACAUAUGCGUCGUUGACCUGGGCGGGGGCACAUCCCUUUAUGCGUAUGCACACCCCUGUUUUCACCCCCUAUACUUCUUUUCUUCUCUUCUCUCUACUUUUUCUCUCCUUCUUCCUUCCAUCUCUCUUAUCUUACUUUUACCCUCUUCUCUGCUUGCUUUACUUUAUUUUGUUUGCAUUUCAUUUUCAUUUUAGUAAUUAUAUUAUUCUUAGUUUAGUUGUUUGUUAAUUGAAUAAGUUGCAAGUGUUCGCUUGUUAUUUGAUUGGGUUGCUUCUUGAUUAAAUUUCAUCAAUGCACUUAUACUUUGCCUUAAAUUACUAACACCUAAUUGGAUUUGCACAUUUACAUGUUGCGUAUUAGGUGAAAUUUUUAUAAGUGAAUAAUGAAUUUAGUGAAUUGAGUUGAACUAUUUAUUCAGCAUGGUUUUUAGUGAAUAUAAUCACAUAACAAGGUAUUUGUUCCUUGUUAAUGCUUUGCAUUUUUUUUAGUCGACUUGACUUGAUUCUUAUCAAGACUUGUCACUUUUUGUGACAAGCACCUUAUACAUGUGAUUAUUUCAUUAUUCCUAAGGGUGAAUAAGUAGUCUCUUUUCAUCAUUGAAUUGGUUAUUGUUAAUUGUACCACUUUCUAUUAAUUGUUGCGCUUUCACUUGCACAAUUUCAAUUCCAAUAGCUCAAAUACUCAAUUCACUUUAGUUAUGGUUACCUAGGUUGUUGUAUCUUAGUUGUUGCUUAUUCAUCACUUGCAACCUAGACAACUUAAUUGAGGAACAUGCUAUUUCUUUUGCUUUUGUGGUUAUUGUUUUACCCGAUCAAUGUGUUGUGUUCUAAAUUGUGUGUAACACCCUAACUACCAAAGCUCACGCUUCCGGCUGCACUACUCUGAUAGCUCGGACAUUACGACGACACUUAUACUAUUUAAUAUUAAAAUAUGAGCCUGUUUAAAACUUUAAACCGUGAAACCGCUCCUAAAAAUACUUUCAUCCGAUAACAUACAUCUAUAGAUACCAUACAACUUACAAAACUCAUAAAGAGUACAUCCAUAUAUAUAUACCUACAUAUAUAUAAAUAUUAUUACAAGCAUUAACCAAUACAAUUCCUAUCCCUCUUACAGAAUAUAUCAAGAUAAAGGCGAGGGUACAAUAAACAAUAACUAAAGCAAUACAGAGCAUUUCAAUAACUAAAUAAACUCUUCGUGACUUCUGCGCCCAUAUCCUGAAAGGGGGAAAAUGUGGGGGGGUGAGAACAUCAUCCUCGAAAGGAUUCUCAGUAGAGGAUUUUUGGGAAUUACUGUAAUAGGAUACGUGAAGAUAAACCGUACUAGUGAUUAAUAACCGUCUUAUGCCUCCUUUUCAAAAACAACGGUUUAAAAUAAAGGUAAAGUCUGAAAAUCUUUUCUGAAAGAAGAACCGUUCAAUUCUCAAAAACUCAAAAGCCUUUCAAAACGGAUUAUCUAUGCGGAAUCAAAAUAGCCUGUCAUAUUUUAUUCUAAACCAGAAACACAAAACCGAAACCAAUCAUCGGUCCAUCUCAAUUCAACCACGGCCCUAGGCCCAAACAAUCCAACCAUCAACCAAAUCACCACAAUCCAACAGAGUCUCAGUUGCAAACACAGAUAGGAAGUUUAAGCACAAACAAACAGUUACAGCAAGUAGAACAAUUAGCAGUUAAUCACAUAGGCAAACCAAGUACAAUAUGCACACCCAAACAAUGUCACAUAGAUGCAUAUGAUGCAUGCCUGUCCCUAGUGGCUGAUGAUAUCAUCUGUCGGUUAUAGAGCCAACCCGACAAGUCCUGGUAGCUAACCAUUGGACUGUCCCUCUGUCAUGCAUCCCCAACUCGAGUUAUACCCAUCAUAAACUUGAUCAUAACCAUGAUCCAUAUCCAUCACCCUCACUGGUGAAUAUUUACGGGUGCGAGCUCAUCCGGGGCUUUCACAGUGCCCGGCCACACUUACGACAUAGGGUCAAAAGAGCUUCGAGUCUCAACCUGGAGCACGUGGUGGCUAGCCACUGCUUCCUUCCAGGGAAACCCUCAUCUCUGAUAGUAGAAGUGCAAGAUCACAAUUAUCAAUAUCUCAGCAUAUAUGCAUUCGUUCUCAGCCAUAGAUCAACAUCCAUCUCAGCCAUCCGGCUCACGGUUCAAUUCAGAACCAGCCAAUGUUCAUAAUCAUACACAGCCAUUCCGGCCCAUAAUAAAACAGCACUUCCAUCAUUCAAAAUCAUCAAAUUCAUGAAAUCAGCAUUUAAGCCAUAAAUCUGUUUCUUAAUUCAUUUCACUUUGAAAUCAAGUUUCAACUCUUUUUAGCCUUGGCUUUAAAGAUCUCAUUUCUCAAAUCAUCUUAGGCUCAUUAGCCACUUUUACUUAAAGUAAGUUCCCCUUUGAAAACAAUGCCACUCUCGGCAUCCUCUUUCCAAAACUUCCAUAACCAUGGCAAGUUUAAGAUCUCUUUGAAAUAUUCAAAAUCACCCAUUCAACAAUGGGAUUUUAUAAUAAAAGUUCCUUGGCAGAGUCUCAAGUCCUUAGGGGAGAAUAGCAUAACUCAUUUCGCCAAAUUCAUUUAAAAUCAUUAAAAACCUUGGCUUCUAUAUUUGAGUAAUAAAAUAGGAUCUAAGCCAAACCGAGUCACGUAAUCAGUUACUUCUUUCAAAACCGUUUCCUUUACUUAGGCAAAACCAGCUUCAACCCCCAUGAUAAAUUCUAAAGCGUUUCAACUGUUCAAAAUUGUUUUAGUCUUGCAAGGAUUCAGAAUUCAAAGAGUACUUAAAACCUUUCUCAAAAUAUUUCAAAAUGAAACUUGUCAAUAGACAUUCAAGUUCUUUCAAAGUCAUUGAAACUCCUCUAAUUGAAACCCUCAAGUCAAAUUCAAAGGCAUAGCCCUUGUCAUACUUAAAACAGCUUUAAAACAUAAGUUUCAUCUAAAUAACGUCCUCCCAAAAGAGAUACAAUGCUUUUCUUAAGAAGCAAGACUAAAUCACAAUUUUCUCUUUAAUAAUUCAUUUCAAAAGCAUGAAUCAUCAUUUUCUUGAUAAUUCAAAUAAAAUAGUAGAAGUCUUUAACUCAUCAUUUUUCCAAACAACCUUUCAAUAAAGACUCGGAUUUUAUAGAAAUUUUGGCAGUACCUCCCCUAAAACUUGGACUUUGCCACCCGGUUGGGGUCCCAACGAAACCAUUCCACAAUCCCUUUCAACAGCCCAAAUUUCAAAAAUCAGUCCAAGGCAAGCCAAAAAUCCAACAGUCAUCUCAAUUCCAUAUUUCAAGAAAACUGUUUUCAAAAACCAAAUCGUUAUCAGCCGAAUCAACUCAUUUCUAAAGCUUUAAAGAAACGGUUCAGCUUAAAGCAAACCAGGCUGAAUUCAAGAGUGUAUUCUAUUUUUCACAUUCUUAAAUAAAUCCAUUCAACUCAAAUCAAUUUCCAACGGAUUAAACUCGAUCUCAAAGCUUUAAAAGAAUCAACUUCAAAAGCAUUUCGUUUCACAAAACCACACAACAAUUCAAUCAACAGACGUUCAUAAUCAACCGAGGCAAAUCAAACCAUACAUAAGGCCGAUACAAUCACCAAAUACACAUUCUCUCACAUCAGUAUCCAUAUGUAAUAAUUCCAAUAUAUAAAAUAUAAUUUUUGGAAAGCGCCCCUACCUCAAAACGCAAUUCCAUAACCCAAACGCCUCACAGAGUCCUUUUUGUCUCAACCCAAACUGACGGCAACCAAAACCUCAGCUCCCAGCCACUUUCGUAAUAACUAUAGCAACACUAAUCACAAAAUACAAUAAUCAAGACUCAACCCCAUGUUAUCAAAACUCAUAUUCAUUAACUGAACACAACAGAAUACUAACGCGAGGCUUUUGAAACAUAAAUACUUACUAAACUAGCGAAACGAAGCAGCUGCGAUUUUGAACGAGCCCGGCAACAGCUCCGGCGGCGGCCAGAAGCUCCGAUGGAUCAACUAUAAAAAUCGCGUAGCAUUAAAACCUUCUCGAAAUCCAAAAAGUCAGAAACCUCAAUUAAAACCCUUACCGGAAGAGUUCUCUGGCAAUGGCAGCGGGGUUCUCCGGCGACAGAAACGGGCAAAAGCUUCGGCGGUGCUAACCGAGGCUUGCCGGCGGCAGAAACGGCGGCGGUAGCUCUGCGCAGUGGGUCGCGUUCCUGCACGCGCCACUGGCCCGCAUCUCCCACCCUCAACAUCGCGCGACCUCUCUCUCUUCACUGGGCUCUCUCCUCUGCGACGGGAAAGACAGCGACAGCCCGGCUCCUCACGUGCGGCGGCCCGGCGCGGUGACGAUGCGACAGAGUCUCCCUCUUCCUCUGCCUGGUUCGGCGACAUCAGCAGCGGGAUGGACUUGACGGAAAGCAGAACGGCGAGGCUGAUCGCAGAAGGCGCGAUGGCGACGGGCUUCACGGCGAGGAGCAACCGCAGCAACCCAAGCCCCGCGAAGACGGCAGCGGUUCUGGGCAGCGCAGCAACUUCUCCUCCGGCGUUUCUCCUGGACGACCGUGGCGGCGCGACCCUCUCCCUCUCGUGUUUGUUUCCUGCUCACUCAUCCUCCAUGAUGCAAGCCCCGCCAGCGCCGUGUUUCCUCAUCUCCCCUCUCCUCCGUUCGGCCAACAAUGUCUCGUGGGUGUGGGUCGUGUUUCUGAUUCACCCCUCCUCUGCCUCUUCUCUCAAAUUCUGUUUUCUUCCUUCUUCAUAUGGCUGAGUGUGUGUGUUUAGGGUAGAGAGGGGCAGCAGCUGCAGCUGCGUGGGUUUGAGGGAGCUAGGGUUUUAUUUUGAAACUUAGGGUUAGGGGUGAUUGGGUAAUUUCACAUAAAAUUGGGAAUAAUAUAAUAAUUGAAACCCAAAUUAAAUCCAACACUAAUUAUAUAUAGAAAAUACUAUUUUCUCAUCAAUUUCACAAAUUAUUUUCAAUAAAAUGCCCAAAUCUAAAAAUUAGAAAUAAUAUACUUAAUUUCUUCAUUUUCCAAAAUAGCAGUAAUAAUAUUUAAAAUAUUACUUAUCUAAUCCAAAUCAUAUAAAAUCCUUAUUAUUUCAUAACCAUCAACCUUAUACUUUAAAUAUAGAAAAUAAUCCAAUAAUUAUAAAAUUGAAUAAUAAUCAUAACUUAUCUCAAGUUCAAUAAAUCAAAACUUGCCUUAAUUACCUUUAAUAAAAUAAUUUCUGAAAUUAACCAUAUGAUUUGAGACUUGAUCAUAAUAAGACUUUUCAAAGGUUUUGGGUCUUACAUUGUGCGCACAUUUAGAAUACAGGCAUUGCCUUUUAUCAUACCACACACAUCUUACCUUUCCUUAAUUGUUAUUUCUUUGUCUACAAAGCAACCGGAGCCCACCCGCUAAAGGUGGAGCCUCAAAGCCCUUCAUCCUUCGGAUUGUGUGCAUGCAUAGAGGACCAUGCAUUUUUUAAGUGUGGGGGAGGAUCGCUAACUUCAAGGGGGGUAAAAUUUAUUUUCUCAGACACUUUGCAACAUUCUACUUUUUUGUUCCUUUUUCUUCAAUUUUUUCCAUUUUUGUUCUUAUUUGCACUUGGUUUGAUUUGUUUGUAUAUAUUUCCGUAGUGCUUAUAGUGUUAUGGUAGUAAAUAUUGGCAUUUGCAUGGUAGAGUAAAUAAGUUUUUUGUAAAACAACAAAGAAUUUUCAACAAAUCUCUUUUUGGACAUUCCAUUGAUUAGAUUUGAAAACGUAUUUUUGAAAUUGCUUGAAGUAUUUUUAUGGAACAUAGAAAAGAGCUUGAACAAAUACCAAGUGAGAUUUGAGCUUAAAUUGUGUGGUUGCAUAUUUUCAAACACAAAUUUUGUUCUUGUGUGUUAUAGACUCCUUUUAUGAUUGUGAUCUUAGAUUUGCUUUAGUCUAUAUUGUCCUAUAUUUGUUGUUUUGGAUUGCAUUUAGUAUGAUUGAGGCCAUCUUUGUCUAGCUCACUAACCCAUAUGGCCAACCCUUGCAUCUAUCUUUGUAAACCACUUUUUGAGCCUUUAAUUCCCCUUUGUUCUCAUUAUAAGCACAUCAUUCACCCUAAGUGAAAAAACCAUUAUGCCCAUUGGUUGUAUCUUUGAUUAGCUUGAGUUUGUGUGUGUGUGUUAAUCAAGUGUGGGGGGAAUUUGUGGAAAACAUUGGUAGUUAGUGUUUUGGGUGUUCAUUGAAAAUAUUUGAAAAAGUGGGAAAAUACUCAUGCAUUCAUUACUUAGAAGCAUAUGCAUCUCCUCUUUGUCAAUAUAAAUAAAUAAAUAAAAAAGAAGAGAGAAAAAGAAAAGAAAAGAAAAAAUAUAUAUAUAAAUAAACAAAUAAGAAUAAUGAAAAUAAGAGAUGAAUAUGUGGUUGAAUUGAAAAGAAAAUGCAUGAGUGAAUGUGAGAAAGGGAUAAAGGGGUAGUUAGGAUUGUUUUAUUAUGAAUAUAGGAUGAUAUAUAGGAUUAGAUGGGAUGCUUGAGCUAAUCAAAGAUCCAAUCUAUUAGCCCACUUAACCAUAUGAAUCCUACCCUUACCUAAGCCCCAUUACAACCCACAAAAGUCCUCAUGAUAUUUGCAUUCAUUCAUCAAAUAUUAGUUGAUUGUUAGACGACUUGCAAAUCUUUGAGAAAUAUGAUUAAAGGAGCAUUGAGUGAUUAAGCCCUAAACACUAAGCGGCUAGAGUGUAAACACAUCUUGUGAGGGGUUCAAUCGCUCAAUUCUAUGUUUUCAUUGCUUAUCUUGUAUCUUCUUGCAAGUUGUUGAACUUAAUUUUGGAAAUUUCAAAUCGAAUCUUUUGGACAUUGAUCAUAUUGUUAUAUUUGCUUUGUCUUGGCCCUAAGUUUUUACUUUGGAUUGAUUGAGAUUCUUUUGUUUGUUUUUACCAAACUCAAUAGGAAGCAUAUUGUAGACAUAUAUAGAUAGCAUUUAGUAUAGUUGCAUGCAUGUAGGUAGUUGCAUUAAACAAAUUAUUUCCCCUUCAUUCAUCUCCUUUGGUUGUGUUUAGCAUGAGGACAUGCUUGGUUUAAGUGUGAAAAAAUUGAUGACUCCAUAUUUUACAAUAUAUUUUGAUUUGAUUUGAGUGAAUUUCAUCACAUAAACCCACAUUUAUUCAUCUAAAUAGCAUGCUUUUGAGAUUUCCUCCUAAAUUGUGCUUGAAAGUGAAAAUAUGCUCUUUUGUGCUUAAUUUAGUCAAUUUUAAUUCACUUUAAUUCCAUUUGGUGCCUUGAUAUAUUUGUUAAGUGAUUUCAGGUUUCCAAGGCAAGUAUGGGUUGAAAAAGUGAGGAAAAGAGCAUGCAAAAGGGAAGAAACCAUGAAGAAAUGGAGUUUGGAAGUUCCAGCACCCGUGCGUAAGCACAAGUAUGCGUGCGUACGCACAAGAGGGAUUUGCGAGCGAUGCGUACGCGUGACCCACGCGUACGCGUGGAUGGAUUUUUGCCAGGCGACGCAUACGCGUGGCCCGAAUCACAUGAGCUCAUUAAUGCAAAUCGCUGGGGCAAUUUUUUGGGCCUCCAGAACCCAGUUCAACUCAUUUCUGAAGCUAUAUGAGGCCAAAGUGAAGCUGAAUGAAGGGGGCAAUUAGGUUUAGUUUUUAUGAUGUUUUCUCUAGUUUCUAGAGAGAGAAGCUCCCCCCCCCUCUCUCUAGAAUUAGGGUUUUUAGCUUAGUUUCCUUUUAAUUUCAGCACUUUAAUUCUUGCUUUAGUAUAGUUUCAUUUAUGUUUCUAUACUUUCUUGUCUUUAUCUUCUUCAUCUCUUUUGUUAUUUUUUCUUUUAUGUCAAUUUUCAUGUUAUGAACACUUUUGUUAUUUUAGUUCUAAUUAAUACAAAUUUAUGUUUUCAUGUCAUUUAUUGCUUUCUUUAGUUGUUAUUGUCAUUUUCUUGCUUUUGGUAUUUUAGAUUUUAUUUUUAAUACAAUUUAAUAUCAUUUUAUUUUCAUGUACACCAAGUAUUUGAUAAAAUGCUUGGCUUAGUUUUCACUUAGUUUUUCUACACUCUUGGCUUGAAAUUGAUUACUUUGGUAAUCCUUGAGUCAUUGAUGUCCAUUCUUAUUUGAUACAUUAGAGUAGUUAGUUGAUUUGGUUUCCAUUGACUCUAUGUGAUCCUUAGUGUUUUCAUAGGACUUAUGGAUUGAAAUUAACUAUGCAUAUUUGACUUAUCUUCGAUGUAAGGUUGACUAAGUAGGAUUAACUCUUCAUAAUCAUCAUAUGUUUGUGAUUAAUGGCUAGGAUAGGUAACCUUAGCUCUCAAUUACAUGCCAAGAGGUUUCUUACAUUUGAAGUUUCCUUUUCUUGCUUUAAUUGCUUUGACUUUUAUUGCUUUCCUCUUAAUUCCUUGCAUGUUUAGUUUUCGCACUCUUGGUUGAGAAAUUGGGUGUUUGGGUGGAAUUGAGUUGUGGAUGUCCAUUCCGCAUUAUGUGAGAAUGGUUAAUUGGUUUGGUUUCCAUUAACGCUAGUCUUUCACUAAGUAAGUAGUGAGUUGACUAGGACUUAUGGAUUGAGAUCAAUUAUGCCCUUUUGACUAAUUCUCAAGUAGGAUUGACUAAUUGGGAUUAAUUCCACACAAUUGCCAUGUUUAUGGUCCAUAACUAGGAUAGGAAUCCUAAAUUUUCCAAUUCUCACCAAGAGCCCCUUUUAGCACUUAAUUUCUAUUUUCAUUGUUUCUUAUUGCUUUGACUUCAAUUCCUUGCAUGCUCAUUUAAUUUCUUGCCAUUUAUAUUACUUGCUUCUCUUGCCAUCCCAUGCUCUCUUAUAGCCAAUGACAUGACAUUUCAUUGCAACUCCUAGGGAAGACGACCCGGGAGUUAAUUACUCUCGGUUAUUUUGUAUUUGAUUUAAUAUUUGAUCUUGAGAAUUCAUUGUUAGUUUGGACUAUGCUACCAACGAAUUGAUUCUUAUUUUGAUUGAUUCCUAACCGGCAAUAAUUCUCUCGUCACAUACCUUAUAAGGGUGUGGAUACCUCUCCCUAGCAUGACGCGUUUUGACGAGUGAGUGUGGGGAGAUUUGGCUAUCAUCCCUAUCGUCAAAGGCAAAACCGUGAGGCCUUGUGUGCCAAAGCGGACAAUAUCGUGCUAGCGGGUGGUCUGGGCUGUUACAGAUGGUAUCAGAGCCGGAGCCUGGAUCGAUGUGCCAGCGAGGGCACUGGGCUCCCUUGGGGGGUGGAUUGUAAGGUCCCACAUCGGUUGGGGAGGGGAACGAAGCAUGCCUUAUAAGGGUGUGGAUACGUCUCCCUCGUAUGACGUGUUUUGACGAGUGAGUGUAGGGGGUUUCAGCUAUCAUUCCUAUCGUCAAAGAUAAAACCGUAAGGCCUUAUGUACUAAAGCGAACAAUAUCGUACUAGCGGGUGGUCUGGGCUGUUACAUUACUCUCUAUGGUGUUGGAAGCUUUUUUAGUAAUGCUAUUAUUGUUAUUAUGGUGGCAAUCACUUCAAAAAUUGGUGAAAAUGGUUUGGGAAUAAUCUAAAUAAGGCACAUUUGGAUUAUUUUUAUUGGUUACUAGUUGAAUUAAGUGUUCUUAAUCUUUGUGUUUAUUUAUGAAUUGCCAAGAGUUUUGUUUACAAAAAGGUUUUUAACCCUAAUUCAGUGUAGUCAACCUGAAUUAGUAUCAAUGUGUUUGUAAUGUUGGAUAGUACUGAAAAAAGGCUCAUAUAUUUUGUAGAAAAAAAUAAAUAAAUAAGUAUUUUUAUUUUAUUUUUUUCUUGUGAAGACAAUUAAAUAUUUUUUUUGUAAACCAUANNNNNNNNNNNNCCUCCUCACUAUAAACUGGAGAGAGAGAAAAAUAUCUAAAUUUUGGACUUUAAACUAUCUCAUUAUUACAUAAUGAAGACUCACGCAAAACUAUAUUUAUAUGAAAUUGAUGAUAGUUAAGCCUAUUAAAUAAUUCCUCAAUCAUUCACACCUCACAAUGAUGUCACAAAAUAGUGUUUGAAAACUAUAAUGAAUUACAACGUUAAAUUUAAUAGAAUAAAUUGAGAAAUCAAAUGGAGUGGUUUAUAAAAUUUGAAGACCUAAAUUAAGUUUUUAUUCUAUUUAGUGAGAUAUUAAAUUGAUGUUGAAUUUUAUUUAUUUGUAAAACUAGAUUUUAUUGUAGAACAAACUAACAUAAAAAAUAAGAUAAAAAUGUAUAUGUAAUUAAUUCAGUGUGAGACUGAAUUACAAUUAAAUUUAAAAAAAUCUUUUAGGUCAAAUAAAAUUAAAUGACUAAACUAGGUCACAGAAUUAAUUUUAAAAGACUCUAAAAUUUAAAGGACCAAAUUAAGUCUUUACAAUCCUAAAUAUAUUACUAAUCGUCAUUAAUUUAAUGACCAUGUAAUAUACUAUUAUUAUGAUAUUUUUUUCCUUAAAAUAUAUACUUGUACAAACACAUUUAAAUUUAGCAUUAAUUAGUCAUUGAAAAGUUGCUGAUCCGGUAUUUUGUUAUUUUUAUGUGAUGAAAAAAAUUUAUUUGUUUUUCAUCAAUUUAUAUCAUCAAUGGAUUCUGCAACCCACUUGUAUCUUUUUAAGCAAAAAUUAUUCAAUUUAUGCUCUUUCGUACAAAUUGAGAUUGAUAAUAUAAAUAGAAUUUUCUUUUUUCGAUACUUGAAGAUAUAAAUAGAAUAGCUUUACAUAAGAUUAAGGGAAAAAGACAGAUAGGUUCUUAACUUUUUAAAUUUUUGACAAAUACAUCCCUGACAAAAUUUAAAUAUAAAAAAAUCUCUGACUUUAACAAACGGAGGACAAUUUAGUCUUUCCGUCUAUUUGCCUCUCAUACACUAAACGGAACUGGCUGACGUGACUGAAAUGGUGUCCAAGUGUCCGUUACGGUGCCACGCUGGAAGGGGAAUAAAGUUCAAAGGACAAAUAAGUCCUUGACAUCAUUUUGCAAAUAAAGUUCGAAGGAUAAAUAGGUCAUUGAGAAUUUAGUUCAUUAUGCUUCUAUAUGUAUCACAUAUUAAUAUCUAAUUGAAAUAUACCUAUAUUAUGUAUUAUAUAUUACUAUCUAAUUUAAUAAUCAAAUGUGUCACAUGACACUCUUAUUAAAAUUUAGAGAAAAUAUUUUUUUUCAAAAUUAAUAAAUUCCUUUCCUAAAUUCUCUCAUCUACCUCUCUCCAUUUUUCUAUUUCUCUCUACUAUUUUUACUCUAUAUAUAAUUAUAUUUUAUAUUAGUAAUUUGACAAAUCAAAAUAUGUCAUCUGAUAUUUUUUUUACAAUUAAAAUAUUUUAAAUGUAAAAGUAUACACAUUAAAUUAUUUUUAAAUUUUAGAUAACGAAUGUUAAAAUUAAUUACUAAUAAAAAAUUAGACUUUUCAUAUAAAAAUAAUAACUAAAAAUCUUAUUAUUUAAUUUUUUUCUGCAGAUAUCUUGAUCUUCUUAGCCAGAGACUUUUGUCAACUUACGACUUUUUUGUAAAAGUAGUUUGAUUUUAUAAAUCUUUUGUGUCAUGCAUAAUUUAUACUGUUAGAACAAAGUGAACUAUAAUUUUAAAAAAAAAUUAUUCUCGUAAUGUUAUUAUGGAUAAAAAUAUUAGUUCUAAUAUAAUACACAAAUGCACUAAUCCUAACUUAAUACAUGAAUGAUGCACAAAUGGACUAAUGCUAAUUUGAUGCAUAAAUGAACUGAUGCUAACUAAUACCACUAGUAUGAUGAAAACUGAACUAAUGUAAUUUAACAAAUUCUAAUAUAAUACACAAAUGCACUAAAACUGAACUAAUGCAAUUUAAGAAAAAAAAAGUAGACACAGAACAAGCCCAAUUUCUGCAAUUUUAAUACAAAUAAUUUAAAUUACAGAAUACAACAACUUAACUAGAUUUCAAAAUACAAGCAUAAUUUUAUAAACUAAAUUCUCAUAAUAGAAGCAUAAUAGAAGUAUAAUAAACUAAAUUCUCAAGGACCUAUUUGUCCUUCGAACUUUAUUUGCAAAAUGACGUCAAGGACUUAUUUGUCCUUCGAACUUUAUUCCCCUUCCAGCGUGGCACCGUAACGGACACCUAGACACCGUUUCAGCCACGUCAGCCAGUUCCGUUUGGUGUAUGAGAGGCAAAUAGACGGAAGAACUAAAUUGUCCUCCGUUUGUUAAAGUCGGGGACUUUUUUGUAUUUAAAUUUUGUUAGGGAUGUAUUUGUCAAAAAUUUAAAAAGUCAGGGAUCUAUCUGUCUUUUUUCUUAAGAUUAAUAAAAUCACAGUCUAAAUAAUACUACACACUGUAUUGCUUAAUGUGAUAGUUAUGGCCUAGACUAAGGGCACCACCGUGGCCAACGACGGCAGCAAUAUCCCCGCUGAAACCACCAAAAGGGGUAGCUGGCAUGUGAUGCGAAAUUUAUAACCACAAACUAACUGGCAAGUGCACCGAGUCGUACCAAGUAAUACCUCAUGUGAGUGAGGGUCGAUCCCACAAGGAUUGAUGGAUCAAGCAACAAUGGUUGAGUGAUUGGCUUAGUCAGACAAACAGAAAAGAGUGUUUUAGUAUUCAAAAGCAUUAAACAGUAAUUCAGAAAUUAAAACAGCAAGCAGUAAAUUGAUAAGAAUAAUAUACGGAAAAACAGUUAAGACUUCAGAGAUAUCUAUUUUCCGGAUUGACUUUUCUUACUAACUAUUUUAAUCAUGCAAGAUUCAAUUCAUGGUAAACUAUAUAUGACUAAGCCCUAAUUUCUUAGACCUUCUUAGUCUACUCUAAUUUUCAUCAACUGCCAAUUCCUUGGUCACUUAAUUCUAAUUAGAGGAUGAAGUUCAAUUCUAGUUUAUGUGCCACAGAAACUCUAAUUACCCAAAUAUAAAAGGAUUAUAUGUCACGUGUCCCGUUAAGUCCAGAUAAUUAGAAGUUUAGGAGAAAUUGUUUUCAAGCUGUUGUUCAAGUAAAGAGCUUUUCCAAGUUAUACAAGAACUCAAUUAGAACAAGGGUCAUACUUCAGUUCCACCCAAAUUCAUAAGAUAAAGAACGAAAAUAAUUCUUGAAAUAGAAAUCAAUACAUGAAUUAAAAUAGAAAAAUAAUAGUAUCAAUCCAUACAAUAGAUAGAGCUCCUAACCUUAACAAUGAAGGUUUAGUUGCUCAUGGUUCAGAGAGAAAAUAAGGAUUCUGGUAAAUUGUAAAUUGCGGAAUGAGGUUCAAGAGAAGAGAGAGCCCGAAGGGCUGAUUCUUUUCCCUUUUAUAUCUAAUAAUAAUUAAUGUAAAAUAUAUUUCCUAAAACUAAAAUAAUAUCUUUUCCUAUUUUAAAAUAAAAUAUAAAUUUAAUCAAAAUUAAUUUGUUUUCAUGCGCAGCUUGUAUGAAAGCCUGGGGACCACUUUGAUAUUGAGGAUCCACGUUGAACUUGGCUUUUUCCAAGUUCAGUGUGGAGAAGGCAGUGUGGUUUUUAGCAUGUCCCCUUGAGUCCACGCUCAACUUGGCUUUUCCCAAGUUCAGCGUGGGAUGUGGCGUGUGCUUCCCUGGGAGCUUUCAAGUUCCACGCUGAACUUGGCAGGGGCCAAGUUCAACGUGGAGGAGACAGAGGUUGCUGGAGAAGAAGUGUGCAUUAUUAUAUAUCGUUGGAAAGCCCUAUAAGUUAGCUUUCUAACGCCGCUAGAAUCACGUCAAUUGGAUCUCUGUAACUCGAGUUAUUCCUAUUUGAGUGCAAGGAGGUCAGGAUUAACAGCAUCAUUCGCUUUCUUUCUUUUCUGCUACAAAACUCCGUCAAAUCCAUCUGAAUGCUACCUGAAAUAAAUAGAAUUGUGCAUAACUCAAAGUAGCACCCAUAGUGGCCAAAAGAUAUUUAAAUUUUGAUUAAACUUAACAAUUCAAAUGCAAAUUCACAAGGAAAAGAUAGAUAAGAUGCUCACGCAUCAGCAUGCUGCCAUCUUCAUCACAUGUGAGCUUUUCUUUUCUUCUUUUUUCUUUAAAAAACUUGUAUUUAAUUAUUUGUAUUUGGAGACAAAAAUAUAAAGACUCAAAGAUAGAGAAAUACAAUGAUAUUUUUUUUCUCUCUUAGGAAUAAUAAAAAUUAGACUCUAAAUUUUUUAGUAAUAAANNNNNNNNNNNNNNNNNNNNNNNNNNNNNNNNNNNNNNNNNNNNNNNNNNNNNNNNNNNNNNNNNNNNNNNNNNNNNNNNNNNNNNNNNNNNNNNNNNNNNNNNNNNNNNNNNNNNNNNNNNNNNNNNNNNNNNNNNNNNNNNNNNNNNNNNNNNNNNNNNNNNNNNNNNNNNNNNNNNNNNNNNNNNNNNNNNNNNNNNNNNNNNNNNNNNNNNNNNNNNNNNNNNNNNNNNNNNNNNNNNNNNNNNNNNNNNNNNNNNNNNNNNNNNNNNNNNNNNNNNNNNNNNNNNNNNNNNNNNNNNNNNNNNNNNNNNNNNNNNNNNNNNNNNNNNNNNNNNNNNNNNNNNNNNNNNNNNNNNNNNNNNNNNNNNNNNNNNNNNNNNNNNNNNNNNNNNNNNNNNNNNNNNNNNNNNNNNNNNNNNNNNNNNNNNNNNNNNNNNNNNNNNNNNNNNNNNNNNNNNNNNNNNNNNNNNNNNNNNNNNUUUUUUAUUAUUUUAAACUUUUAGAAUAAAUAAUUUUAUGGGUAUUUGUAGUAUGGAUAGGUGUGAAAUUUGUGGAGUGAUUUAUUUCGAUGGGUUUGUCGUCUGCAAAUUUGAUAACAUACAUAGCAAAAGAGCUUAAAAAGUCAGUAGUAGAUGCAACAAAGAAUGUGAACACAUAGAUUGAGUUUUCCUCCCUCUUCCCUUUACUUGGUGGCUUUCUCGCCGAUUUUUAUUUCGGCCGCUUCAAUACCAUCGUUAUCUCCUCCUUCAAUUUCUUUAUUGUACGUAUUUUCGUUUUAUCUUUUAAGAGAGUCCUUAAUUUUUUUUUAUUAUUCGUCAAUCUUUUAAAUUUUAAAAUUAUUAUGUUUCACAACAUCCUCAUAGCUGGGUAUGUCUUUCUAUUAAAGUAAAUUUGUUCUUCAAGAUGGACUUGACUAAAUUCUUUAUAAGGGGCUAUAUAAUUUUCAUGUCUCAAUAUAUAUGUAACAAAUUAUCAAUAAUAAUAAUAAUAAUAAUAAUAAUAAUAAUAAUAAAGAGAUGAAAGAAAGAUAAUAAUCCAUGCAUAAAUUUCUUAAAAAUCAAAUAAAUUCAAGGUAACAUUUAAUGAAUAAUAUCUUCACAAUUUAGUUUUUUACAUACGAUUAAUAAUAUGUUAUUUUGUACAAAAAAAAAAAGUCAAAAACACGUCAAGAAUUAAAUUUGUUUCUUUUAAUUCAAAAUGUAAUAAUAAAUACCAUAAAACAAAUUAUAUUUUUUAGUAAGAAAAAUAAUUGUAUUUUGUUCGGUUCAUCGGGUUACCGGACGGUUCAAAUGUGAAGAUGGGUCCUGCCUUGGUCUGAGUCCUGGGAACGGAUAGUUCGAGCUGACGACCUUGCGAGCACUUGAUGCGUUGAGGGGGGUGCCACCUGCAAAGACCCUCCGACGCCCAAGUCAGUGUGGUGAGCAGGUGAAAAAAAGUAGAAAGUUGUAGUGACGUACCUUUGGGGAGGGGUAGGACCCUCCCAUAUAUACCGUCUCAGAGGUGGGCCCCUCAUGGUCAGAGACCCACCUUCCGCGAAGUUUCCCCUAGCUAUCACCAGGCGAGCUGGCUCCUGUGGGAUGCUCGGGUCAAGGUCCGGGUGCAGGGCGCCCCGCAGAGCGGUUGCCCGGAUCCGAAGGUGCGGUGAUAUCGGCCAGAUGGGCUGGGCCGCAACAGUGCUCCCAACGCGCCAGUUGGGGCCGCGAGUGCCGUAGGUGGUGCGUUCUGCUCCUCUUCACAUGAGGUGUCGGUUGGUUGACUGAUCGUGACAGGGGCGCGUUUCCUGGGCGCGUGGGCUUGUUCGUUGCAGGGGUGCUCCGCUUCUCGCCUCGUUUCUCGCGCCGAGCAUUAAAUGCUCAUAAUGGGAAAUUCAAAACCUCGCGCGCAAUGACUGUUUUACCCCUGUCUUUCGCGCCUCUUCAUGCAUCAGUUAUCCCCUCAGUUUCCUUUAUUCAUCAUUUGGUUUUCAUUUUGCUACCAUCGCAUCCCCUCAUCACUCUCCUUGCUGGUUCCAAUUUGCCGCUGCAGUCUCCCUUUCUCUCUCCAGCCUUUUUAAUCCUUUCGGCUCCUUCGUUCCAACGCAAUUAUCCAGGUAUGUUUCAUUUCCUCUUCUUCAUCUUGUUUAGUUUUUCUUUGUAAUUGUGCCAUUUCCGUGCGUGUGUGUUGUUCUUCUAAGCUGGAUUGCGUAGUAGAUACUAUUAGCGUUAGGUAGAUGUAUUAGGGGGUUACCAUUCUAGGGUGUUGGUCUUUUAGGCUUUGUCUUGCGUAGGCUCAAGUUUAGCUAAAUUGUUAGUUUUUGAUCGGUAGACUGUAGCUUUCUGGUUAUGGUGCCGAUCUCCCGAUCUCUUAGUCUAACCGGGUGGUGCCCCCACUGUAGGUAUGGCCCAGCGUCAUGUUGCACGGGCACCAGCUGCGAGAGCAGCUUACGACCGGUACGCCUAGGUGACUUCGGAUGUGAAGGAUUCUCCCAAUCAAACGGAUCUAGAGGAGCUCACUGAGUUCCGGCAAGCUGAGUACCUGUGUGGUGGGACUGACGAGGAGUCCCAUUACGAGGUCUUUGUCCCCGCCCCACAUGAGCGGAUUUAUCAAAUAAACCUGCACCACCCCUGAGUUGCCGACUGGAUCUGGUUCUAUAAGGUAAUGUUUACUCAAGUGGGAGUUUGCAUUCCCUUCUCUCCCUUUCAAAUGGCGCUACUCAAUUGGUGUGACGUGGCGUUGUCCCAGUUGCAUCCGAACAGUUGGGCUUCGAUCUGCGUCUUCGAGAUGGUUUGUGAGUACUUGGAGUUGCCGGUCUCCGUUGAGGUUUUCUUGUUUUUUUUUUUACUUUGACGAAUCCCUCUAAAGAGGGGAAGGCGAAGAAAGGCUUCAUGUCUUUCUGAUCUGCCAAGGGUCGGAGGAUUUUUGGGUUGUUUGAGGACUCCUACCAUGGGUUCAAAGAUAGGUAUUUCAAAGUUCGCCCUUUAGAGGGUCAUCACCCAUUUUGGCUGACGCUGGAGUGGGUGCGUCGCAUCCCGACCUAUUGGAGUUUUGGGGCAGGGGCGAACGCUUUUAUUAAAGUCACAUAUAAAGGGCUAUCUCCAGAGAAUAAACGGGUUGCCGACGUGUUGUUAGCAGUGUUUGGGAAGAAUAAUGUUAACCCCCAUCUUCUCAUGGGUGACCAAAAUGUAUCUAGGAAUUAUAUACGUGAGUUUCCCUUCUCUUCUUCUUUUUUUUUUAGCUAACGAGCUUUCGUGCUCUUUACCAGUGUCGAUGGCUGGCGAGCAAGUUGGUCUUGAAGCUUUAUUUAACACCUUUCUCAAUAACGACAUCGAGGAGGAGACGGCUUCUGACCACCAAGCCGCAGAUAAUCAAGAGAAUCCUCCUCAGGAUACCGCAAGCGCUGGGGCUCAGUCCCAACCUUCUCAUGGUGAGGUAAUCGGUACUAGUGGUGGACCGAAACCUCAGCCAGAGAUCGAGGUUGAGAACCCGGAUGUGAUAAUAGUGGAUAAUCCCAGGAAAAGGAAACCGUCUUCUAGCCCGGAGGGAGCUCUUACCGUGAUGGAGAAGAAUUUUGAUACCGGAAACUUUAUCGAUUCCCAAUUGCUCCCGGGCACAGAGGACUUCCUCCAUGGUGGGGAUCUUCCGGGGUAGGCAAGAUGGAUGUAUCGCACGUUGCUCCGGGGAGCCGCGAUAGCAAGGAAGGCGGAGUUUACCCUGGCGGGAACGUAUUCUUUGCAGAAUAGACUUGAAUCUUCUGUUGAAGCAAAUAACAAGUACAAGGCCGAGGUGGAGUUACUUCGGAAGCAAUUGGCAACUGCUCAGGAGCUGCUGGCUACUGCUACGGAGAAGGUUAAGACUUCUGAUGUCGCCGUUGCCCGGCUUACCGAGAGGGAGAUGACCAUGGAGAGUCAGCUCAACUCCGCUCAGGGCAAGGUAAAAGAGGUCGAAAAGGAGCAUGAUGAGGCCCUGGCCUCGGCAACUGCGGCUAAGAAUGAGGCGACCGAACUGAUGAGAAAGUACAAAGAGACUGUCAAGCAAGGGAAGAGCGCCAUCUUGAUGACUGAGGAGGCCCUCAAGGCUCAGGUGAAGCUGUUGGCUCCCGACUUCGACACCUCAGCUGUUAGCGUCUUCAAAACCAUCAAGGAUGGAAAAAUUGUCGACAUCCCGAAGAAGUGAUUUGGUCUUGCCUUUGAACUUCGUUUUUUGUAAUAUAUAGAUUUUAUAUACUUUUGGCUAGUUGACUGCCGUUUAGUGUAUUAAGAUAGUUGUGGUGAACUUGGUUGCCGUUUUUGGCAUAUAUGUAAUUAAUGACUUGUCUAUCGUCAAUGUCUCUUACCGUUUUAUUGGUCGCUAAGCGCAUCGUUUGGUAGUCGUAGGAGUCGCCUGAUUGUUUUUUAAUGUUCUAGGUUAUUGGGGUGAUCAAUCCCGGUUUUCCGUUUUGAUAAAUUUCGAAAAAUCAACGACGUAUGAUAAAUCUGAAUAACGUAAACACGGGGCGAAGAUAGUAUAGGCAACAAUUAAAGAUGACAUAAACAAGCUUAUAACUAAAGGUAGCAUAAACAAUUAUCGUAAGUCUAAUGAUCUCACAUACAGUAAUGCAAAUCUUACUGGUGUGGUUAAACUGGUAGGAAUCUUACUCAUAUGGCGUGCCUCAGCUGCUAGGGGUAGAAUCUCUUUAGGUUAACCACGUUCCAUGUCUUGGGUAUUUCUUUGUCGUCCAGCCGUUCUAAUUUAUACGCGCCGCUGCCGAGCACUUCCUUAACCCUAUAAGGGCCUUCCCAGUUUGCCGCCAGUUUUCCUUGCCCUGUCGUCGGCGGCCCAACAUCGUUGCGUCUUAAGACCAAGUCGUCCUAUUCGAACUCUCUUUUGAGCACCUUGGCAUUGUAGCACAGGGCCAUUCUUUGUUUUAGCGCCAUCUCUGAUAGAUGGGUCAUCUCCCUUGCUUCAUCCACCAAGUCCUUUUCCACGGCCUCUUUGACUACCCCUAAGAGUAGUCGUGGGCUCAGCUCCCCGACUUCCACGGGUAUUAUUGCCUCUACCCCAUACGUGAGUCGGAAGGGCGUUUCCCCGGUGGCGGAUUGUUGGGUUGUGCGGUAAGACCAGAGAACCGAGGCCAGUUCAUCCGCCCACGCUCCCUUCUUCUGGUCGAGUCGCUUCUUGAGGCCCUGCAGGAUGAUCUUGUUCGCAGCCUCCACUUAUCCAUUGGUCUGGGGAUGCUCUACUGACAAAAACUUUUGUUUUACCCCCAAACUGGCAAGGAAUUCUCCAAAUUUUUUAUCGGCGAACUGCGUCCCGUUGUCCGAGAUGAUAGCUUCUGAGAUGCCGAAUCUUGCUAUUAUCUGUCUCCAUAUAAACUUUCGACAGUUCGUUGAGGAUAUGCUGGCCAGUGGCUCUGCCUCUAUCCACUUUGUAUAGUAGUCAAUCGCCAGUAUCAGGUACUUGACUUGUCCUGGCCCGACUGGGAAGGGUCCUAAUAGGUCAAUUCCCCAUUGUGAGAAAGGUCGGGAAGUCGUGAAGAAGCUGAGUUUGGUUGCUGGCACUUUGUGAAAGCUAGAAUUUUUCUGGCAUCUCUUGCACCUUCUUAUGAAUUCCUUAGAAUCUGCCAUCAUGGAGGGCCAGUAGUACCCGGCUCUGAUGAGCUUCCUAGCUAAGGCCUUCCCUCCGAUGUGGUGACUGCAGCAUUCUUCAUGGACUUCCCAGAGGACAUACUCCAUUUGGUUGGGGUGCAGGCAUUUCAGCAGGGGUUGGCUAAGCCCCUUCUUAAACAACUGGCCCUGUAUGAUUGCAUACUUGGCCGCUUCUCGUCUUAUUGUUUUGGCCACCUUCUCGUCACUGGGGAGCUCGACUUUUUCCAGGAAGUCGAUGAUCGGGUCCAUCCAAGAGGGUUCUGACUGGGUCAGCUAUAGGACCACUGCUGGUUCUUUUAUCAAACCUUGAAUCAGAGAUCGGUUGCCAGUCCCUGGUUUUGUGCUCGCUAGCUUGGACAGGAGAUCCGCCCGUGUUUUCCGUUCUCUCGAAACGUGCUGGAUCGUGACCUCCUCGAAUUGCUUGCUCAAUUCUUUGACUUUCCCCAGAUACUUCGGUAACAGUGAGUCUCUGGCCUGGUAGGUCCCAUUAAUCUGGGAAGUUAUGACCUGUGAGUCGUUGCACAUCUCCACUCUGGUCGCUCCGACCUCUCUUGCCAGCGCUAGGCCUCCCAGUAAGGCUUCAUACUCUGCUUGAUUGUUAGAGACCGGGAAAUCGAAUUUGAUGGGCUGCUCAUAUACAACUCCAGUCGGGUUCUCCAAGAUGAUUCCUGCCCCUCCGAACGUUUGGUUAGAUGCUCCGUCAACAUGAAGCUUCCACCGUGUGUUCGGGGUCCCGGCGGGGUCUCCUGUCACUUCUACCAGGAAGUCAGCCAUGGCUUGAGCCUUGAUCGCGUGCCUGGGUUCAUACUGUAAGUCAUACUAGGAGAGCUCAAUAGCUCAAGUCAUCAUUCUACCUACCAGGUCGGGUUUCUACAGUACUUGUCGGAUUGCCUGAUCCGUUCUGACGAUUACUUGGUGUCCUUGAAAGUACUGCCGCAACCUGCGCGACGAUGUCAGGAGCGCAUAUGCCACUUUCUCCAGCUUGCUAUACCUUAGCUCCGCUCCUUGUAGUGCUUUACUCACAAAAUAUAUUGGCUGCUGGGUUUUCCCCUCUUCUCGCACCAAGACCGCCGCCAAGGCCUCGUCGGUUACUGCCAGAUACAAGUACAGCGCUUCUCUGUUCUUAGGCCUCGCUAGAACAGGUGGCGCCGAGAUUAUCUCUUUGAAUUGUUUGAAAGCCUCUUCACAUUUCGGUGUCCACUCAAACACGAUCCCCUUCUUCAUUAGGUUAAAGAAAGGUAGAGCUUUAGCCGCCGACGCGCCGAGGAAACGGGACAGUGCGGUGAGUCUACCUGCUAACCUUUGGUCAUCUUUUACACUUCCCCGGCUCUUCAUCUGUAGGAUUGCCUCACACUUUUUCGGGUUGGCCUCCACCCCUCGUUGCGUUAUCAUCAACCCUAGGAAUUUUCCGACUUCGACAGCGAAGGCACACUUCAGCGGAUUGAGCCUCAUUCCGUGUUGGCGAAGAGACGCGAAGACGCUUUCUAAGUCACUUUAGAGGGCCUCGGGCCUGGCGGUCUUGACCAAGAUAUCAUCCACGUAUACCUCUACCGUCUUGCCGAUGAGGUCCCUGAAGGCCUUGUUCAUCAGCCUUUGGUAUGUGGCCCCCGCAUUCUUCAGCCCGAACGGCAUCACCUUGUAGCAGUAUGUCCCUCCUGGCGUUAUGAACGCCGUUUUCUCUUCAUCUGGCCGGUGCAUCGGUAUCUGAUUGUACCCAGAAUAGGCAUCCAUGAAGCUCAGAUACCGGUAACCUGCCGCCGCGUCAACAAGAACGUCGAUGUUGGGUAAGGGGAAGGAAUCCUUGGGACAUGCCUUGUUGAGGUCGGAGUAAUCUACGCACAUUCUCCAUUUUCCAUUGGUUUUUUUAACGAGGACCACAUUUGCCAACCACGUUGAAUAGUCCAGUUCCUGGAUGAAGCCCGCUUCCAGUAGGCUGGCCGUCUGUUUGGCCACCUCUUCCACCCUUUCUUGGGACAUCUUUCUCCUCCUUUGAGCUACUGGCUCGCCUCCAGCCUCACGGCCAGCUGGUGCGACAUGAAUUGAGGGCUAUACCCGGCAUGUCAGCCGGAGUCCAGGCGAACAAGUCGCCGUUGGCUCUGAUCAUUUCUAUCAGGGGUUCUUUCCAGUCAUGGGGUAGAUUCCUGUUCACAAAGGUAAACUCGUCCUCUGAGUCGCCGACCCUAAAUUUUUCAAGAUCUCCCUCUGGUUCCGGCCUAGGUUUGUCAUCAACCCUGGCGUCCAGGUUGGCAAGGAAGACACCGGAUGCUUCUUUAGAUUUCUUCCUCAGGGAGAGGCUGGCGUUGUCGCAUGCGACUGCCAUCUCCAGGUCACCCCUGAUGGUCCCCACUGAUCCAUUAUCAGCUACAAACUUCAUUACCAAUAACUUGGUGCAAAUCACCGCCCCAAAGUCGUUGAUGGUUUUUCUUCCUAGGAUGAGGUUGUAGGCCGUGGAGUCCCUUAAGACAACGAACUCCGCCAUUAGCGACUUCUUCCACCUGCCUCCGCCAAUGGAGACCGGGAGGAAAACUACACCAUCUAGCUUGAUGAAGUUAUCGCCUAGGCCUACCACGCCGUGUUGAUGACCCUUCAAGUCGGUAUCCCGUAGGCGCAGGGCAUCAAAUACAUUGCGGAAUAUGAUAUUGGAGUCGGCUCCCGUGUCCACCAGGAUCCGUUUUACUAGGCCGUUGCCCACCCGGGCCGUGAUCACCAUUGGUGGGUUCUCUUCCACCUCAUCAAACCAUUGAUCUUCGGGGCCGAAGGAUAUCGAGGGUACCCGCCGGGAGGUCGGUGCGGGGCCAGAGGUCAUAGCCAAGACCUUGGCGUCCUUCUUGCUAGCCGAUUUCGAUCUGAGAGGGACGUCUCUCCCAAUCACCACGUUUACCACCAUGAGACCGCGCUCGUUAUCCUCUUCGGGUUCCCGUCUUUGUCUUACGGCACAGCUUUUGUCCUCUACUGACCGGUCCCUCCUCCUUGGUUCCCUUAUAAGGUGGGAGAACUCAGCUAACUUUCCUUCUCGAAUGGCCUGCUCCAGGGUGUCUUUCAGGUCAAAAUAGUCUUGGGUUUUGUGGCCAUAACCCUUGUGAUAAUCGCAAUAGAGGUUCUGGUUUCCUCCUGUCCUGUACUUGAGUUGUCGGGGCUUCGACAAGAUGUCCUUGUUGGCGAUCUGCUGAUAGACCUUGACGAUUGGAGCCGCCAGGGGAGUGUAGUUGGUGAACUUCCCAACACGGGGGAAGGGUUUUGAGGUCUUGGCCAAUACCCCGUCUCUGGAGUGUUCCUUGGCCCUUUCCCCACCACCCGGUGGGUGGGCAUUAGAGUAUGCGUGCUGCCGUUUAUUAGCUGCCAUGACCCGACUCACUUCUUCAUCAUUGAUGUAUUCUCUAGCCACACUCUGAAUCUCUUGCAUCAUCCAGACAGGCUUGGUGGUAAGUUGUUUUCUGAAAUACUCAUUUAGCAGCCCGUUGGUUAGGCACAAACUGGCCACUGAAUCGGUUAGGCCGUCAAUUUCCAGGCACUCGUCAUUGAAUCUGUCCAGGUACUUCCUAGUUGGCUCGCCGGCUCGUUGAUUUACCCCUAGCAGAUUAAUCGGGUGUUUCACUUUUGCGAUAGGCGUGGUGAACUGGACCAGGAAGGCGCGGCUGAUAUCGGCGAACGCGGUUAUGGAGCCCUGGGGGAGGGCGUUAAACCAUCGGAUCACUGGUCCAGCCAGGGUUACCGGGAAAGGGCGGCACCUUACUUCAUCGGCUACCCCUUCCAGGUUCAUCCUGGCCUCGAAUGCUAUUAGGUGUUCCUGGGGAUCCUGGGUACCAUCAUACCUCAUGUCAGUCGGCUUGUCGAAGUGCUUUGGCAGCCGAACUCCAAGGACCGAGUGGUGGAAGGGGGUCGCCCCCAUGAUCACUGGUUGCCGGAUUCGUCUCGGUCUUCCCCUACUGCGCUCCCUGUUAGGCCGGCUUCUCCUUGCCCCUUCCGCGUGAUGUUUUUGUUGUGGUCGGCUCCUUCUUCUUCGUUCCCUGCCGGCCUUCCAGUCUUCGUCUUCGGUAUCUAUUGUCGGUGACCGGGUAUAGACCAGGGGAUCUCGUCGCCUCCUUGGUACCUCUCUGCUUUCCAAGCUUUCUGAUUCUGACCGGGGGGUCGGGGUGCGCCUAGAGUGACUUCCUCAGAGACUCCUCUCUCCUCUGACGACUUUUACGGUUGGCCACUUCUCACUCCAGGUUUUGCACCCUAUGGCGCAGCUCUUGUAUUAUUCUGGCGCUAUCACUGUCUGUUCCUCUAAAGGGGCGUCCCUCAGGUCGCCGCGGGGGGGACCUGGUGCCCUCACGAGUGGUGGCUCCAGCAGCUACCCUACUGCUUCUGAGAUCUACUCCUUCCCCUCCAUGCCCGGCUCCGGCGUCAGCCCCAUUAGGAACCAGAACAAAAUCCAUAGGUCCCUACAGACGGCGCCAAUGUUCGGUUCGUCGGGUUACCGGACGGUUCAGAUGUGAAGAUGGGUCCUGCCUUGGUCUGAGUCCUGGGAAUGGAUAGUUCGAGCUGACGACCUUGCGAGCACUUGAUGCGUUGAGGGGGGUGCCACCUGCAAAGACCCUCCGACGCCCAAGUCAGUGUGGUGAGCAGGUGGAAAAAAGUGAAAAGUUGUAGUGACGUACCUUUGGGGAGGGGUAGGACCCUCCCCAUAUAUACCGUGUCAGAGGUGGGCCCCUCAUGGUCAGAGACCCACCUUCCGCAAAGUUUCCUUCUACUAGCCGUCACCAGGCGAGCUGGCUCCUACGGGAUGUUCAGGUCAAGGUCCGGGUGUGGAGCACCCCGCAAAGCGGUUGCCCGGAUCCGAAGGUGCAGUGAUAUCGACCAGAUGGGCUGGGCCGCAACAUAUUUAUUAUAUAAAUAAAUACAUUAAAUAUUAUUUAAAAAUAAUAGAUAAUNNNNNNNNNNNNNNNNNNNNNNNNNNNNNNNNNNNNNNNNNNNNNNNNNNNNNNNNNNNNNNNNNNNNNNNNNNNNNNNNNNNNNNNNNNNNNNNNNNNNNNNNNNNNNNNNNNNNNNNNNNNNNNNNNNNNNNNNNNNNNNNNNNNNNNNNNNNNNNNNNNNNNNNNNNNNNNNNNUAAAAUAUAUUGUAUAUGUUUUAUUUUUUGAAAGAUUAGUGAAUAUAAAAAAUAUUUAUUUUUAUUAACAUAUCAAUACGUAAUAAAACUUAAAUCAAAUUAAUAAAAUAUAAUAAUAUAUUAGAUAUCAAACAUUUUUGAUACUCGUAUAAAAAUACAAUUGUUAUUAGUUAAUUAUGUAUUUAAAUUUUAUUUUAGUUAACGCUUAACAAAGCAAAGUAAAUGUGUGUAUGUUGGAUGUUAAAAAAAAUACCAAUGACAAGACAAGACAGUAUCUAAUAUAAAGAGUGUAUAGUAGCAUAAUUGAGAAAAAUAUAUAAAUACUAUUUCUAUAUCAAAAUUAGUUAUUAAUGUAAGGAUUAAUUAUUUUGUUGGUCUUUAUAAUUUUAUCAAAUUUUUAAUUAAGUUUUUUUUUUUAAUUAAGUCCUUAUAUCAUAUCAGAUUUUGUAGCUAAGUCUCUACUGUAAAAAAAAAUGUUAAAAUUAAUGAAAUAUUCUAUUAAACUAUAUAGAAUAUUCAGUCAAGUAUUAGGCAUAUUCGUUUUGCUUAACAGAAUAUUCCGUUAAUUCUAACAUUUUUAUCACAAUAGAGACUUAAUUAUAAAACCUGAUAUGGUAUAAAGACUCAAUCAAUCGAAAAAAAAGUAUAAGAACCUAAUUGAAAAUUCAGUGAAACUAUGGGAUUGACAGAAUAAUUAAACCUUAAUAUAAUUGUGUAUAAACUAUGAAUACAUAUAUUAUUAAUUUAUUUUUAAUGUAUAUUUGUAUUUCAAUAUAUAUUUUAUAUUAAUAACUAAUUUUAGUGACUGAAUUUAAUAUAUACCUAACAUGAUUGAUAUCAUAAAUAUCACAUAUAUAUGCAUGGAUGCAGGGCAUGAUUUUGUUAACAGUCUUAACACUAUCAGUGUCAGUAAUGAAGCAUGAGGCCCUGUUCUUCAUAUCUCUUUAUGUCUUGUCCGUCGGCGACGGCGGCCACAAGCCAUGUGUUCAAACCUUUGCUGCUGAUCAGUUUGAUGAAGAAACAGAAGAUCAAAGAAAUGCAAAGACUUCAUUCUUCAAUUGGUGGCAUUUGGUCAUAGUUGUUGCAUGCAUUUCCUCCGUUUUCUUCAUGGUUUAUUUGCAGGACAAUUUUGGAUGGACUUUGGGCAUUGGGCUCCUACCUGGGAUGUGGGCCAUAGCAAUAGUAUUCUUCUUCCUUGGAAUGAAAAGGUACAAAAAAGAAGGCCCAAAAUUUAAAAUAUUUUAUUAUUGAUAACCUUAUCAUGUGUUUUAAAGAAACAUAUUAGCUAAACUUUUUUUUUUAUUAUCAUCUUCUUUUAGGUAACAGCAACAAUCGUAAUUGUAGUAAUUGCAAUAGUAAUUAUAUUGUUUUGAGAGUGAAAUUUGCAAAAAAUAAUAAGAGAAAUAAAAAAUAAUAAUAAAUAAAAAGUGAUAUUAAAAAAAAUGUAACUAAAGACAAAAAUAAAACGAAAUAAAAUAUUUUUAAAAAAAAUCAAACUUAAAAAAAAACUUAAAUCUUAUUUCAUAGGAAAUAAAAUAUAUAGUAAUAUUGCAAUAAUGUACUCUUUUUGAAAUAGCUCUAAUAUGACUAUAUAUCCAAUUGUGAAAAUUCAAGUGCAGUCGAUUUCACGUGAAGUUGAUAUCUAAGAGCUAUUAAAUGAUUUGACUGAUUUGACUAAAUUUUCAUCUAACAGCUUUCAACUAUCAACUUCACAUGAAGUUGACUGUACCUAAGUUUUUACCAUAUCCAAUGUGUAUUAUUAGAGUUGGUAUGAACAAAUAUGAUUUGUAGGUUUUCUUUUUUUUUUUUUCUUUUAUUGACAGAUUUUUGGACAAGGCAAUGAUCAUUGAUGAGCAUGAUGUUGCCAAGAACACAAGAGAUCCAUGGAGGUUGUGCACAUUAAAUCAAGUUGAAGAAGUGAAGCUUGUCCUUCGUUUAAUUCCUAUAUGGCUAAGUUGUUUGAUGUUCGUAGUUGUAAUGUCAACUAGGAACAUUUUUUGUGAAGCAAGGUAGCACAAUGAACCGUUCCAUCGGACCAAACUUUUAAAUUCCUCCGGCAUCACUUCAAGGCGUUGUCGGAGUUAUAAUUCUUUUUGCCGUCGCAUUUUACGACCGAGUCUUCGUUCCAAUUGUCCGGAAAUUCACCGGACAUCAAUCCAGCAUAACGGUUUUACAAAGGAUUGGAAUUGGUCUUUUUUGUUCCACACUUUGUAUGGUUGUCUUGGCACUCGUGGAGAGCAAAAGAGUAAAUACGGCUAACAAACACAAGAAUAAUUAUAAUACUAUUGAAGGCUUUUCACCGAUGAGUAUAUGGUGGUUACUAACUCAAUAUGCUAUUCUCGGCGUCACCGAUGCGUUUGCGGUGGUUCGACUUCAAGAAUUGUUCUAUACUCAAAUGUCGGAGGCGAUGAGAAGCGCCGGCGCCGCUGGGUUUUUAAGCAUUUUAGGGGUUGGAAAUUUUGUUGGCAAUGCUAUUAUUGAUAUUGUGGUGGAAAUAACUUCAAAAAGAGGGGGGAAAUGGUUGGUGGGAAACAAUUUGAAUAAGGCACACCUUGAUUACUUUUAUUGGGUGUUGGAUGGGUUAAGUGCUCUAAGCUUAGGUGUUUAUUUAUUGGUCUCUAGUAGUUUUAUCUACAAAAAGGUGCAUGUGUAAGAUCAGUAAUGGUGUUUGGCUUUUGUUAUUUAGAUGAGUUAUUAGGACAUUUAAGAGUGUCGAAUAUAGGAGCAAUUUGAGUUAAUAGGUUAAGUAUAUUAAUUAAUUAUAAUAANNNNNNNNNNNNNNNNNNNNNNNNNNNNNNNNNNNNNNNNNNNNNNNNNNNNNNNNNNNNNNNNNNNNNNNNNNNNNNNNNNNNNUUAUUUAAUAUAUGAAAGUUGUGUUAUAUAUUAAUUUUGUAUUAUAUAAGUUAUAAAAGCUUUCAUCUUUUCAUUACUAUAAAUAUAUAUUUAUCCUUUUUGUUUAUGAAGUGAAAUUGAUUUAAAUAUAAUAUAAGUUUUGUAUUUAUUUUUUAGGUUCUCUUAGGAGUAGUAAAAGAUCUAGUUUAUAUUUUUAUAACUAAGAUGGAUUUAUAACUAUUUUUAUCAUAUUGAAAUUGUUAACCUCACUAAUAUUAAUGAAUCGAUCUAGAUUAUGUCGAUAUAGUAGAGUUGUUAAUAUCGUCAAAAUUAGUAACUCAAAUGACGUUUCGGCGUCCGUAUCAGAAUAUUGAAAAAAAAAAUCAUUCAAUUUAAUUCAAGGUAUGAGAACUAGAAGCCCUAUCCUCAUUAUCAUCAUCAAUUGUGAUUUAGAAUUGUCCAUUACUCCUACUUAGUCAACCUCUAGAUAUGAAGGUAAGUCAAGUGGAUAAAUCAGACUAAAUCCUCUAAGUCCUAUUCAACUCAUAAGGAAAGACUAGAGUUAGUGGAAUUCAAAUCAACUAGCAACUUUCAAUUAUCAAUCAACAAAAGAGUUUGAUAACUCAACAGUCUCUAAUUACUCAACCAAAGCCUAGAGGAGAAAAAUCUACUCUAUCAUCCUUCCAAGCAUUUUGACAAACACUUAGAAGGCAUAAAAGGAAAGUAAAAUCAAAUUACAAGAGAUAUAAAUCUACAACUACUAAUUGCAAGGAAAUUAACAACAAUAAAGCAAAUCAACAAUAAAAGAAAUCAAACAUAAAAUUACAUUAAAGGAAAAUAGAAGAGCAUGAGUGCAUCAACAUAAAAGUAAAGAAUUACAAGAACUAAAUCACUAAUCUAAGAAAGAGAAGGUAGCGGAACAAGAAUUUAUAAAGGAAAAGUAAAUCAAAGCAUGAAAUUAACCUAGAUCUAAAAAAUCCUAAUCUAACCUAAUCAUAAUUCAAGAGAGAAGAGAGAGCUUCUCUCUCUCUCUCUAAAAACUAACUAAAGCAUUCCCUCCAAAUUCAAUUAUGACUUCCCUCCCUUUUGACUCCUCUUGAUUUCUGCAUAUAAUAGGCUCAGAAUUGAGUUGGAUUUGGGCCUAGGAAGCCCAGAAUUCGCCCCCAGCAGUUUCACUUUAAUGAAGUCACGUGCGAGCGUCGACGCAUACGCGUGGGUACGCGUCACUUGGCAAUUUGCUUUCCACGCGUACGCGUCAUGUACGCGUACGCGUCGCCUGGCGACCUCACAUUCCACGCGUGCGCGUCGAUGAAUGCAUCCCAAAUCCUUAUUUUCCAUGAUUUCUCCACUUUGCAUGCUUUCCUCUUCACUCCUUUGAUCCAUUCCUAACCUUUUCAACCUGAAAUCACUAACAAACACAUCAACGCAUCUAGUAAAAUCAAAGGUAAAUUAAAAUUAAACAAUUAAGGACCGAAAAAACAUGUUUUCACACUUAAACUCAAAUUAAGGAGAAUAUACAAAACCAUGCUAUUUGGUGAAUAAAUGGGGGAAAAGGGUGAUAAAAUCCCCUAAAUUAAGCAUAGAAUGCACCACCAAAUAGUAGCGCAUCAAAUCUCCCCACACUUAAACCAAACAUGUCCUCAUACUUAAUCAAGAGAGAAACACAGGGUAUUAUUAUUUAUUCAAUGUAAACUAUCUAAAUGCAACUAUCUAAAUGAAUGCAAUUACUUGGUCAAAAUAAAUCAAUUCUCAAGAAAACCAAUAUAAGCAUAAGGGCUAAAGGUAUUAUCAACCAAGCCAAACCACAAUUGAAUUGAGUUAUUAAAGAUUUUUGCAAACUUGCAAGAAAAGUGAUGAUUGUAGGUGAAAACAUGUAAUUGAGCAAUCGAACCCUCACCGGAUGUGUAUCCGCUCUAAUCGCUCAAGUGUAUAGGGUCGAUUCUCUCAAUUCUCCCUUAAUCAUGCUUUCCAAGAUUUGUUUUUCAUCUAACAAUUAACAAUUAUUUCAUGCAUGCAUACAAUUAUCAUGAGGUCUUUUCAUAGGUUGUAAUGGGGUUAGGGUCAAGGUAAGAGGUAUAUGGUCAAGUGAGCUUGAAAUUUGAAUCUUUGAUAAGCUUAAACUUCUCACAUAACCUAUAUAGCAACCUAUACAAAUUCAAAGCUAACCUAACUACCCAUUCUUCACUUUUUCACAUACUCAUGCAUUUUUUUCUUAUCACAACUCAUAUGCAUUAAUUAUUAUUGAGCUUCACUUUGGAGCAUUUUGUCCCCUUUUUAUUUUUUUUCUUUUCUUUUUCUUUCUUUUUCUAUAUUUUUUUUCUUUUGAUAUAUAUAUUUUUUUCCUUUUAUUUUCUCAUUUCAUUUUUUUUUCUUUUUACAAUAAAGUACAAACAAAAGCAUCAAUGCAUAUAGUUUUACAUUUAAUUAACGCAUGAGUAUAUACCCAAUUACCUAUAUUUUCAACAAAAAUUACAACACACCCACUUUUCUUCUUUUUUUUUUCCCCUCAACCAAUAUCCCAAGUUUCCCCACAUUUGAAUGAUACACACUCACUAGCCUAAGCUAAUCAAAGAUCCAAAUAAAGGACAUUUAUUGUUUUUUGCUUCAAGGCUUGUAAUGUGCUAAAAUUAAAAACAAGUGGGUUUAUCAUAGGCUCAAAGUUGGCUAACAAUGGUUGAUGAAAGGUAAGCUAUUUAGGUAAGUGGGCUAAAUAAAAUGAUGACCUCAAUCAUACAAAUGCAUGUCUACACAAAAUAAUGGACAUAAAGAAUCAAACAAAUCAAAAAUUACAAUCAUAGAAAGAGAUUAAUGCACACAAGAAGAAAGAUAAGUGGUUAUAAGAUGUAACCACGCAAUUAGGCUCAAAACUCACAUGUUUGUGUUCUUAGCUCAAAACAUGUUCCACAAUAUAUAAUUCAAGCAAGUUCAAUAAAAGAUUUUUACUCAAAUCAAUUGGAAUGUCAAUGCCCUAUAGAUAGAAAUCUUGAAAAUUUUCAUUAUUUUGGCUAAGCUUAUUAUGUAUAUAUAUGCAAAAAUAAGAAAAUGCAACAAAAGAUCCUAAAAGAUCUAAAAAUAAAAUGCAAAUAAAAAUGAAAUGCAAAAGUGUUGGGAUUAGAAAUUUGUCACCCAAAAACACCGACGUGCGAGCGUCGACACGUACGCGUGGGUCACGCGUACGCGUCGCUUGGCAAUUUGCGUUCCACACGUACGCGUUGCCUGGCGACCUCACAUUUCACGCGUGGCGUCUGCUACGCGUGCGCGUGCGCGUCAAUGAAUGCAUCCCAAAUCCUUAUUUUCCAUGAUUUCUCCACUUUGCAUGCUUUCUUCUUCACUCCUUUGAUCCAUUCCUAGCUUUUUCAACCUGAAAUCAUUAACAAACACAUCAAGGCAUCUAGUGGAAUCAAAGGUGAAUUAAAAUUAACAAAUUAAGAGCCUAAAAAGCAUGUUUUCACACUUAAACUCAAAUUAAGGAGAAUAUACAAAACUAUGCUAUUUUAGUGAAUAAAUGUAGAAAAAUAGUGAUAAAAUCUCCUAAAUUAAACAUAGAUGGGGCGCAUCAGUUGGCAAGGGUUCUUUUGAUGUUGGAGACAAUGAUGUCUUCACUCUUCUGUGACAUUGUUAUCUAAGCCUCAUUUUUGGUCAACUUCGGACACCCCAUGACAUAGAAAAAGAUGUAAUCAACACAUACAUAUAAUACAUGCCAUAAUGAAAUGUGAGAUGUAAACCAUCGAAAUUAAAUAAAUAAAAAGCGUAUUCGAUCGGAACAUUAUUAUUAUGGUAAAUUCCAAAUACGUACACUUAUUAUUCAUACCUAAAAGAAGAAGAAAAUUCUUAUAUAGGAAAUGCUUUUUCAAGGCAUCUAUUUGGUUCUUAUUGCAUAAUUAGGUAGGUUUUCUAUUAUUCUUCACUUUCAUCAUAUUAUUCACUUUCAUAUUUCACCAAAUUUUAUAUAUCACGUCAAUUUUCACCACCCACUUGUAUAUAAUAUAUAACACCCUCCAAUGUUCAUUACUUGCAUAAAUCUAUGGAUGACAGUAAGAAUUCCAAAACCACAAAAAAGGGUGGAUGGCCUGCUGCCAUCUUCAUCACUUGUAAGUUUAUUAUUAUACACAAAUUUAAUAAUUCUCAUUUUCUUGUUUCACUAUAUUUUGUUUUUUCUUACAUUUAGUUUCAUGAGUUUGAAGAUAAGAGACACUCUGUUUGAUCAUUUUUUUUUUUAAAUUUCAAAAUAUUUUUUCCAUUUAUAUACCCUUAAUUUAAUCAUAUAUUAUGAUGAGACUUUGUAAAUCUUUUAAAAAAAAAUCUAGUAUUAAUUCUAGUUAUAAAAAAAUUUUAGGGUAAUUUUUUAAUUACAUAAUAAACUUCUACUAGUCUCAAAAAUUUAUAUAUUUUUUUAAACAGUUAUUAUAAAAUAAUAAGAGUUUAUAGUUACUAUUAAUUUACAAUGCAAUAAGAAAUAAUUUGUGUGUGGAAUAUAUAUUGCAACAGUUGUCAAAUUUGCAGAGUCAUUUGCUAUAACAGGAUUAACAAAUGAACUUGAUGAGUCUCUAAGUGAAGCUACAAAAAAUAUAAACACUUGGAAUGGAGUUUUGUUACUCUUCCCUUUGUUUGGUAGCUUCAUUGCUGAUUCAUAUCUUGAUCGCUUCACCACUAUCAUCCUCUCUUCUCAUUUGUCUUUUGGUAAAUCAAUUUUUAUAUUAUAUAUACAAAUUAUAUUUGUUCUUAUCACUUUUGAAGUCAGGUAACUACUUUUCCUCAAAUUUAUUAUGCACAUACUUUUAAGUUUAAAUUAUUCAUACUGUUUAUCUUAAAAUGUUUUUUAUUGAAUAAAAGGGGUGUUGUACUAUUUGUUUAUUAAAUAAAUUUUAACUUUUUAUUUAAAAAAUGAUAAUUCUAUUCUCUUUUUUAAUGUCAAUCCNNNNNNNNNNNNNNNNNNNNNNNNNNNNNNNNNNNNNNNNNNNNNNNNNNNNNNNNNNNNNNNNNNNNNNNNNNNNNNNNNNNNNNNNNNNNNNNNNNNNNNNNNNNNNNNNNNNNNNNNNNNNNNNNNNNNNNNNNNNNNNNNNNNNNNNNNNNNNNNNNNNNNNNNNNNNNNNNNNNNNNNNNNNNNNNNNNNNNNNNNNNNNNNNNNNNNNNNNNNNNNNNNNNNNNNNNNNNNNNNNNNNNNNNNNNNNNNNNNNNNNNNNNNNNNNNNNNNNNNNNNNNNNNNNNNNNNNNNNNNNNNNNNNNNNNNNNNNNNNNNNNNNNNNNNAUAGCAAGUUAACUUUUAAGGAGUGUUGCUCUCUAUUUUUUUUCCGACUAAAAGCACAUUCAUUGUCUAAAGGAGAUUAAAUUCGUUUAUUAACUAUGAUAUAAAUAAAUUUUUAAGUAAAUUCUAGUGGUAAGUUCGAUCAGUAAAUUUGCAUAAAAUAAUUAAAAUCUCUCAAUUUUUACUAUUUUAGAAGUAAUAAAUAUAUAAUUAUACAUGUUACAUGUAUAAAAUUAUAGAUAUUGAAUUAAAAAAAAUAAUUUUAAAUUAUUACCUUCUUUUAAUUAUUAAUUUAAUUCUUAUUAUUCUUGAAUUGCAUGCAUGCAGAGAAUGGUUUUGUUGACAAUAUCAGCCUCUUUAGAGAACCAUCAUGGGAAGUUACAAGUAGUUACCAAUAGAAUUAAUCUUCUUUCAUUUCAUAACUUAUACUAUGAAAUGCUUUUAUAUAAAAAUAUUAGGUAAGAAAUGUAUAAGUAUUAUAUUAAAUAAUUUAAGUCAAAGUGACUCGAAUAUAAAGAUGAUAAUCAAUAAUCAUUAAAUAAUUUAUAUAUUUAAUUAAAUUUUUAUUUAAUAAUUUUUAAUUAGUAUAUAUAUAAAUAUUAAU